AAAAAGUUAGAUCUGUUCAUCCUUUAUCCAAGCCAGUCCGAGCCUUUGCAAUUUUCUAUUCAUUGCUUGCAUAGUUGAAUUAUCGGUUGCAUCGUCGUGUCAGUUGCUGGUUUUAGUGUCUAGUUCCUUUAGAGUUUCGAGUUCUGUUCACAUUAGUCACGCCGCCGCUGCAUCAUUAUCCCUUCCGCUGUCCACCAUCCCAUCUAUUAAUUUCCACCACGUGCUACACACUGUUCAUUGUCAUAAUCAUAGUUGAGGUCAUUCACAUCUUCGCCUGAUCGAAUCUGCAUCUUAUCUAGUUUGUCUUGGAAAGAGGGAGAAAAAGAAGAUAAAGAAAAAAAAGAGCGAAAAAAGGAAAGAAAAAAAAAGAGGGAGAAGAAAAAGAAAAAAAAGCGUGAGAAAAAAAAGAGAGAAGAAAAAAAAUUGGAUCUAUCUAGAAUCAAUCUCGUACCUGAAUUCGGAUUGGAAUCUGUUUUGCGCACUGUUCAGUAAAACAGGUGUAUCUUCCUCAUACGAAGUCCGUUUUGGCUCCGUGAGUACUCAAAUUGAAGCUAGCGACAAGCCGCAUCUAAAUAGUUGCAGAAACUAGUUCAAUAUUUGACACCUCAAAAUCGGGUUCUAAAUAGGUCUUUUUGCCCUCUGAAGUUCGUGAACACAGCUUGUUCCAAUUUUUCAGGCCAGAUUUAGAAUUCUUUGACUCCUCAUAUCAACUUGGAAUUGAGUGAUUCUUUUUGCAUUGGAAAGCUUGAGUUAGUAGCAUUCUUUGAAUGAAUUUAUCAGAAAAUUGGCUCAAACUUUUCAAGAGGAAAGUUGGAGAGAGAGUUGUUGUAUAUCCUGCUUGGCAGUUGUUUUUCAUCAGUAUCUUCACUUCCGUUGUGAUCUUCACUUAUAUCUUACUGUCAAGAGCUACUUAGUAUCCUUCAUUGAUGCUAGUUGUGCUACGCCAUGACCUCAUUAGUGUUCUAGGCUCGCGUCUCUAGUCCGGUCUAGCCUAGGACCAGCACAGUACCGUCGUUGAGCGUUUAUUCAACAUUGCAUCUUUGAAUUGAUUAUUGCUAAAUUUUUUGCUACCAUAUAUAGCCAACCCAGCUCCACAUAUUUCUACACCGUGUAUAUGUACGUUCCCCUGGCAAUCGUUUUACACAAUCUUCAGAGUUACUUGACACCAUGGUUGCCUGUCACGCCCUGCCGCAUGGUAAGAACUUGUAAGAUAUUGAUAUUUGCUUUACUGUGAGCACUUUACAACCACAUCCUAGUAGUGCAUAGGAACAUUAUUCUCGAAUUUUGUUUCUUGUUUCUACUAAUCAUGACAGGUUCCGGAGAUAGAAGUUCUUGGACGACGGACACAUCUUCACCAUCACGGGAGUUGGGACAACACACACAAGCACAUGGUCAGGUUAUCUCUUUACCGUCAUUUGAGGGUAGAUUUAAUCCCGCUAUUUAUCUAGCUUGGGAGUUUGAAGUAGAACAAAUUUUUAGUAACCAUGACUUUUCUGAACUUGAGCGAGUACGAGCUGCCACUAGAGCAUUUACUGGUUUUGCUUCUGUUUGGUGGAGUGUGCAUUGUAAGAAAAACAUUGAUAACCAACCCACAACUUGGAAAGAUUUGAAAGAUGUAAUGAGAAAACAUUUUUCCCUCCUUACUAUCGUCGUGAAUUGCUUCACAAAUUUGAACAAUUUAAACAAGGCAACAACACUGUUCAUGCUUACUACCAAGAGUUCAAAUCUUAUAUGCAUCAUUGUGACAUAGAAGAAUCUAAGGAUGAUACAAUGAAUAGAUUUUUUGGUGGUUUGAACCAUGAUAUUCAGGCAAGAUUUCAGUAUAUUCCUCGUUACAUUACUGGUAUGUAUGUUCGUGCUUGUACCUUUGAGAGACAGAUACAGGAGGAUGCAUUGGGUGACUACAACAACUACUAUUCCAGUUCAUGCUCACCAUCGCCGGUUGGUUCCUCCACCGUUGCACCUACUAGAGCAGCCCCACUUCGGAUUGUGAGCGCGACAUCAUCUCAAGAGUAUGGUGCAUUGUCUACGUCCGUACCUACAUCAGCUACGUCUUUGCGACAAGGUAACAGUAAAGGUAUUGAUGAUAUAACUUCACAUGAGAACGAUGCAUCCCUAGUUACCUUGAAUACAUCAUGUGUUGAGUUACCUAUUGAUUUGAGCACGCCACCUAGUUUAGAAAAUCAUGUUACUAUCAUGAAUGCAUCAUGUGAUCAAACAACUGAAAUACCAACAAUUUUGAGGUCGUCCAUUGAAUUAACUGUUGAUGUCAAAGAACCAUGUGAAUCAGGACAUAAAUUAGAUUUGGAUAAAAUAAAUUUUAAAAUAAUUAUGCCAAUGUUUAAUCAUUUUGAUAUGACCUCUAAUCUUGGUGAUCAUUCUGUGUCAAUGACUUAUUGCAUGUUUUCUUAUUUAAGCAUGUUGUAGCAUGUAAAUUUGAUGCACGUAAGGUUUAUUCACCAAUGUUGGGAUGGUUUAAUGAUGAAUAUUGUCAAUCUUUUGAUAUGAAUAAGAGCUUCACUUAUAUGUGCAAACUGAGUUACAAUAUUUUCAUGCCUUCUACUUAUGAUAAUAUUUUAGCUUUAUAUUUUAUGAUCUAUGAAAGUUACUCAUGUAUACAUGUGUCAUAUGUGCAAAAAUCAAGGGAAGUAAAAAUGGAUGGCAUAUACAUAUACAACAUGUACACUUUGUCUCUUUUGUUAGCCACAUUUCAGAUUAAGCAACGCCGAUGACGGCUUUGUUUUCAAGAAGGGGAGGAUGAUGAGGACAUGACUGCCUUGGAUAAGACCAAAAAUAUUGCAUACAUGCAUAUUUGUCAGGUGAUUUCUAGUGCAAACUAUUCAAUAAUCUAUUUAUGUUAUCCAGAACAAAAAUACUUCACAUACUUUUGUGUUUUGUCUAAUUGCAGGUGUAUGGGUUAUUUGUACAAUCCACAUAUGAAGAUAAGGGAAAAGGAGAAGUUUAGGUGCUGUUCAAAAAGUCCUCUCACGUCACUUUUGGGUCAAGAGAAGAUAGAGUCCAAGUCUCUCACGUUCUGGAUUCAGAUUCGGACUGCACAGAUAUACCAGACUCAAAACGCCAACAACUUUUUCAUACGGACUCCAAAUUGGGUGAUUCUUUUUUUGUUGGAAAGUAGAUUUCAUGAUCUUUCCAACCCAAUUGGAAUCACCUUAAAAUCCGUCCAGAGCGUUGAGUUAUGAACGAAACAAUCUGACGAUGCACCAGAAUCCGAGUCAAACUACAAGUCCAAAGGUGUUACGUCACCUCCACUUGGGCCCAUUGGCCUUGUACGACCUAGGGUUAGUUUUAAGCUGCCUUGGGACGUCCUCCCACCUCCUUGGCCGCCACCCCUUGCUCCUAUAUAAGUAGAUCCAUCUAGUAGCUUUUCUCUUGGGAUUUGUUUAGUUAAAAGUUAGCCAUUGCAACUUCGUGUACUUCGUUUGUGUCCAACGACCAGACCAAGACCGCUUACGGAUCUCCACCUUUAUCAAUACCUCAUAUAUACUCGCAAUAUUCAGAUUGCUUUUAUCAUAUUCUUGCUUGUUCUUUAAUUGCUUGCAGGAAUAGACCUUCGUGGUCAGGUUGAUUGUGCUCCGGUGUGGUCAAUAACCUCUCAGAGUUGGUUUAGCGAUUGCUAAGGCGCAACGUCGUGCACGUUUGUAGUCGGAUCGUCAAAGUCAUCUUCACCAAAUCGAUAGUUAUCAUCUCAUCGAAAGAUCGGGACACCCCGCCUCUAUCAGCGGAAGGCUUGGAAGAUAAGUGAGUCCAUCAACUCCAACGGCAUCGCCGAGUAUAGAACCACGACCUAAAACUCCUUAAUUAUCGUCUGAAAAGUCUGCAACAUUAACGUUGCAGCCCGAAAAUGGGUCAGCACAUGGAAUAUGCUAGCAAGGUAACACAUAGAGAGUAAUGGAAUGAAACAGCUAUACUAUAUGCAUAUUUGGCUGGAAAGCUCUAUGGUUACAAUUUUGCGUAAAGCCAAUUUUUCCCUACUUCAAAGGAAUAAUAUUUAAUUACUAUCAUGGUAGUUGUUAAACAUUGAAAAUGGUUGACAGCAUUCUCAAUCCCAAUUAAACAUCAUCAUUAAACAUAACCCAGCAAAAUUAAUUUAGAGUAACAUGUUGAGAUUCACAUGAUAAUCCAGGUACUAGAUACUCAAGAUGUCCAUAACCGGGGACAUGGCUAAUCAUGAUUAGUUUAUUACACUCUGCAGAGGUUUGCGCACUUUUCCCCACAAGACUCGAUCGCCUCUGUUUGGUUUCUCGCACUACAUGGUGUUUGAGAAGACGGAUAACCGAGACAUAGUCUUUCAGAAGCGCUAGCACCUUAUGAUCGGGUAGACCAUACCACCUACAUCCCCUACAUCUGCUAGUCUACCACUGUAAGAGUUCGCACGACUUAGUCAACUAUGCUAGAGCCCAUAAUAGCUUGUGGCUGCACACGGAAGUUUCUAGUAUGAAUAGUCUCAUGAUCCCUUUGAGCCUGGGUGGCGGUCCAAAAGAAAACAGGCAAGUCCUCUAGAAUACCCAGGUGCCUCAAUCCACCCAGAUGUGUGUUUAAGUUGCCACCUUAGAUAAACCAUUAAUUAACAAAACUCACAUCUGUCAUGGAUAUCACUCACCCAAACCACGUCUACGAGCAUAGCAUAGCAAAUUAAGCAAUGCGUAGAAGUAACUCCCAAAGGUUUGACAAUAAACAGGUAAUAGGUACUACCUCAACUACUUCCCAUCCCACAAUUUAAUUAGAUCCUAAUCUUGCAAUGUGUAAGGAUUGAUCUAAUGCAAUAAAACUGGGUAGUAGGAAAAAUAUGAUCAAAGUGUUACUUGCCUUGCUGAUGAUCCGUGAAACCUAGAGAUUCGAAGUAACAUGCGGCGCACUCCGGGUAUUCUAUCGCAGACAAACAAACAAACAUACAAUAAGUACUCAUCUAAUGCACGGGUAAAACUCAAAUAAGAGAUCUAACCAGAAGGUUCAACUUAAGAACUCCAGUUGGCAAAAAGAAUCAAAUCGAACGAAGCAACGAAAGUCAAACGACGAAAGAAAACAACUUCGUUCUACUAAUCUGGAUCUAGGGCAAAUUUUACAGGGGCAAAAUCUUUUUUAAGUUGGUUAAACGGAUAGAGGGUUUCGAGACGAAACUCCAGGCACUUGAAUCACCUGAUUCCGAUAAAUGAGCGAAAAGUUAUACUAAAACGAAAAUCGGAUCAGGAAUCGCGAUCAGAAAAAUCGCGGAUUUAAUCCGAGAAAAAGAAAAACGACGAACGCUCGCUAAAACGAACGAAUGGACGAACACUCACUAUUUAAAUAAACCAGAAAAACUGAUCUAUUUAAAAGAAAACCAAAACUAAAAAAAACCGAUGGAAAAACCGUCGGAAAACCGAUCGAUUUUCUAAAAAAACCGGGCACGGAUUUCGAGGCGGCGGUGAACCUCNNNNNNNNNNNNNNNNNNNNNNNNNNNNNNNNNNNNNNNNNNNNNNNNNNNNNNNNNNNNNNNNNNNNNNNNNNNNNNNNNNNNNNNNNNNNNNNNNNNNNNNNNNNNNNNNNNNNNNNNNNNNNNNNNNNNNNNNNNNNNNNNNNNNNNNNNNNNNNNNNNNNNNNNNNNNNNNNNNNNNNNNNNNNNNNNNNNNNNNNNNNNNNNNNNNNNNNNNNNNNNNNNNNNNNNNNNNNNNNNNNNNNNNNNNNNNNNNNNNNNNNNNNNNNNNNNNNNNNNNNNNNNNNNNNNNNNNNNNNNNNNNNNNNNNNNNNNNNNNNNNNNNNNNNNNNNNNNNNNNNNNNNNNNNNNNNNNNNNNNNNNNNNNNNNNNNNNNNNNNNNNNNNNNNNNNNNNNNNNNNNNNNNNNNNNNNNNNNNNNNNNNNNNNNNNNNNNNNNNNNNNNNNNNNNNNNNNNNNNNNNNNNNNNNNNNNNNNNNNNNNNNNNNNNNNNNNNNNNNNNNNNNNNNNNNNNNNNNNNNNNNNNNNNNNNNNNNNGGCGGGGUCGGCGGCUGUGGCGGCUCGAGGCUAGGGUUUCCCCCGGGGCUGGGCCGGCUUAUAAAGCCACCUCGGGCCGGAGUCCUAGCCGGACACGGCCCGUAGGUCGGUUCGUUUUUUUAUUACGCGCAGAAGAAAAAUAAAAAGAAAUACUAAACGGACUCUAAAAAUUUCGAAAUAAAAUUUCACGGGCUUCUAAAAUCAAGCCGCACAAGGUGAACAUUUAUUUGGGACCUAAAUGCAACUUUGAAAAAUGCACAUUUUUCCUAAAUUCAAAUAAAAACACCGAAAAACUCCGAAAUAAAAUCUUAUUUGAUUUUAUUAUUUGAUCCUCAAUAUUUCUUUAUUUUGGGAAAGUCAUUUUAUUCCCUCUCUCAUAUUUUUGGAAUAGAAAUAAUUAAUGAUAAAAUAAUUAAAAUCAAAUGAUCCUAUUCUCAAAACUUGAGAAAACUCAAAUAUGAAAAUAACCAAAUCCCCAACUCUCUCCGUGGGUCCUUGAGUUGCGUAGAAUUUCUAGGAUCAACCAAAAGCAAAAUAAAAUAUGAUAUGCAAUGAUGAUCUAAUGUAUAACAUUCCAAAUUGGAAAUUUGGGAUGUUACAAACCUACCCCCCUUAAGAUGAAUCUCGCCUUCGAGAUUCGGGUUGGCUAGAAAAUAGGUGAGGGUGGUCCUUGAGCAAAUCUUCCUCUCGUUCCCAGGUGGCUUCGUCCUCCGUGUGGUGGCUCCACUGAACCUUACAAAACUUGAUAACCUUGCUGCGGGUAACUCGGCUGGCAAACUCGAGGAUCUUAACUGGUUUCUCCUCAUAGGUCAAAUCAUUAUCCAACUGAAUAGUUUCCAAUGGCACUGUGUCUCUCAAAGGUAUCUCAGCCAUCUCCGCGUGGCACUUCUUUAACUAAGAGACGUGGAACACAUCAUGAACUCCUGACAAUCCUUCGGGCAAUUCCAACCUGUAGGCCACUUCUCCCGUACGCUCCAAAACUCGAUAUGGUCCUACAAAUCAUGGCGCUAACUUCCCUUUAACUCCAAAACGCUUUGUUCCCUGAAGUGGAGAUACUCGAAGAUAAGCUCUAUCUCCGACUUCGUAAACUGUCUCCUUGCGUUUAGAAUCUGCAUAACUUUUUUGUCUGGAUUGGGCUACCUUGAGCCUAUCGCGAAUCAAUUUCACCUUCCGUUCAGACUCCUUAAUCACGUCAGGUCCAAACAACCAGGAGUCUCCGACUUCGUCCCACGACAACGGUGUCCUGGACCUCCAUCCGUACUAGGCUUCGAAAGGGGCCAUCUUCAAACUGGCUUGGUAACUAUUGUUGUAAGAGAACUCUGCAUAUGGAAAAUUAUCGUCCCAACUAGAUCCAUAAUCUAGCGCACAAGCUCUCAGCAUAUCCUUCAAAAUCUGAUUGACUCUCUCGGUCUGUCCAUCUGUCUGUGGAUGAAAAGUUGUACUGAAUUCUAGCCUAGUUCCCAACGUCUCAUGCAACUGCUUCCAGAACUUUGAGGUAAACUGGGUUCCUCUAUCUGAUACGAUACUCCUCGGAACUCCAUGCAAACAUACGAUCCUGGUCAUGUAUAUCUUUGCCAACUUAGCACUGGUGUAAGUGGUCUUUACCGGGAUGAAAUGAGCUACUUUCGUCAAUCGAUCAACUACAACCCAAAUUGAGUCAUAGCCUGAACGAGUCCUGGGUAAUCCCAUGAUAAAAUCCAUGCCUAGCUUAUCCCACUUCCAUUCGGAUAUCGGCAAUGGUUGUAACAAUCCUGCUGGCUUCUGAUGCUCUGCCUUUACUCUCUGGCUGUAACACCCCGGAUGUGAUUUACCCAAUAUGUACUCCAACUCUUGCCGUUUCCGGCCUUAAGUUAUUUCAUUUUCUCGGGUUCGGGUUUUUGUCUCCGUAUGUUGUUGUCGUUGUCAUGCAUCUCAUAUCAUGUCAUCAUGUGCAUUGCAUUUGCAUACGUGUUCAUCUCUUGCAUUCAAGCAUUUUCCCCGUUGUCCGUUUUGCAUUCCGGCGCUUCGUUCUCCUCCGGUGGUCAUUUCUACCUUUCUUUCGUGUGUGGGGAUUAAACAUUUCCGGAUUGGACCGAGACUUGCCAAGCGGCCUUGGUUUACUACCGGUAGACCGCCUGUCAAGUUCCGUACCAUUUGGACUUCGUUUGAUGCUCCAACGGUUAACCGAGGGACCGAAAAGGUCUCAUGUGUGUUGCAGCCCAACACCCCUCCAAGUUGGCCCAAAACCCACCAAAACCGUCUCCAUCGUCUAGAGUGUUCGAUCACGAUCGCGUGGCCAAAAACCGCACCUCAUUUGGACUCUCCUAGCUCCCUCCACCUCUAUAUAAAGAACCCCCCAUUUCAAUUCACGGACGAAACCCUAGAACCACCCACCUCUCCCGCCGGCGGACAUUUUUUCGUCCGGCCACACACGUCCGGAUCCACCCGCCGCCGCCACGUCAGAUCCCGCGAGCCCCACAUCACCGCCGCCGCUCGGGGCCCGCCAGGCCCGCGGGAGGCCCUCCCGGGCCCAUCGACCGCGCCGCCCCGNNNNNNNNNNNNNNNNNNNNNNNNNNNNNNNNNNNNNNNNNNNNNNNNNNNNNNNNNNNNNNNNNNNNNNNNNNNNNNNNNNNNNNNNNNNNNNNNNNNNNNNNNNNNNNNNNNNNNNNNNNNNNNNNNNNNNNNNNNNNNNNNNNNNNNNNNNNNNNNNNNNNNNNNNNNNNNNNNNNNNNNNNNNNNNNNNNNNNNNNNNNNNNNNNNNNNNNNNNNNNNNNNNNNNNNNNNNNNNNNNNNNNNNNNNNNNNNNNNNNNNNNNNNNNNNNNNNNNNNNNNNNNNNNNNNNNNNNNNNNNNNNNNNNNNNNNNNNNNNNNNNNNNNNNNNNNNNNNNNNNNNNNNNNNNNNNNNNNNNNNNNNNNNNNNNNNNNNNNNNNNNNNNNNNNNNNNNNNNNNNNNNNNCGCCAUUGCCGGCCUCGCCGCUCCGGCAAGGCACAGCCGCCUUGCAGCACCCCGACGCCGCCGGCCGCCGCCUCCUCGAGGCCUCGCCAACCCGCCGCCGCCUCGUCCUCGCCUCCCCUCGCCCGGAUCCGGCUCCGGCGAGCUAAUCCGACGACUCCGGUAACUCCGACCACCGCGCCCCUGUCGCCGGUGAACAGUUCUGGCGAGCCUCGAAAUCCGCGCCCGACUGGAUCUAGAUCUGAGAAAUUGCCUCGGUUGACUUUUGCCCGAAACCCUAAUUUAUUUGGCGUUGUUCAUCUCAUCAUAACUCCUCAUCCGUAACUCCGUUUUGGGCAUAUAGCAUAUCAAAGUGUUCAUCUCAGAGAGUACAUCAUUUCAUCUCAUUGCAUCAUUUUCAUUUGAGUUCAUCUUGAUGCCCGAAAUGCUGUUAGAAGAAUGCUAUUUGAGAUAAUUGUCAGAUCUGCUGCUUCAAUUAGAUAUUUGUCAUUUUUGCCAUGAUUAUUGUGUGCAUGAUAUGCCCAUGAGCUCUACAUGUGUUUUGUUAUAUGUUUUGCCAUCUAUCCAGAGGUGCAACCCAUGUAUUUUUGUGAUGUGUGUGGUGACUAGCACAAGCUUGCAAAGUGGUGCAUUCGUUAAUGCUGAUUUCAGGGACUUAGCAUUUCCACUAAGUCCUUGAUCUGUUUAUCUCAUUAUGCCAUAUGUUCAUGUUGUUUCCUAUUGAUCCGUGCCUCUUUUGAGGAUGAUCAGUAAGGAUGUUUUGUUAAUCUUUUAGUGCUCUAUCCAUCCAUGUCUUUGGUUGCAAUUAUCGAGCACCCUAGCUUGAGUCAAUCGAGCUCUACUUUUGCUAUUUUGUGAAUCUGGGCAGAUUGUUUACUUGUUAGCGAUUUUGCCGAGGAUGUUGUAGUUGAUCCAUGCAUGCUAUGUUAUUGUUCUUGCCAUGUCUACCUUGUAUUUUGUGUAUUCUUGAUGGGUGUAUGCUUAGAUUGUCAUGACUUGCUCUGUAGUGAGUGCAUCGUGCUCUUAGACAUGCCUACUUGAUAUCUGUUUCAGCAUGCUCCAGUUUUCACUAAGUCUGAGAACUGAUUAUGUUUUUGCCAUGUUCAUAUGCUUGCAAUUGUAUUUUCUGAUCCCUUUUGGCUCAAGGUCACUAAGGGACUUUUGUUAAUCUCUUUGAGUAGCUCCAUGCCAUGCUUUACUUUGCCAUGUUCAGGUCCUGUAGCAUAUUGUUUUCUUGCUCCAAAGAGUGCUAUCUGAUCUGAAAUUCCAGAAAAGUGUUAAUUUCACUAAGUCUGAAAUUUGUUUACCAAAUGCAUUUUUGCCAUGCUUGUUUGAACCUGUUAAUGGAUGAAUUGGUCGUAGCUCAGUGCUAGUAUUUUGUUAAGCUUCAUGAAUGGAUCCCUGCCAUGUAUUUUGUUGUCAUGUUUGGGUGCUGUAGCAUGUUCAACUUGUUGCAUUUAGUUGACUACUUGCUGUAAAUCGCAGAACGUGGUCAUAUUUGAAUUGCUUGCCAUUUCCAAACCGUAACUCCGAUUCUGGCGUUCUUUAUAUCGUUUUCAAGCGAUUUCAUCUCAUCUUUCCAAUGGCACACUUGGAUUUCCAAGUUCAGGCCAGGUUCUUUCAUUCCUUGUAAAAUCUUGCAUAUGCAUCACAUAUUGCGUCCCGCAUAGCAUACCAUCCUUGCAUCAUGUUGUUUGAGUUUGCACGUGGUUGAUUGUGUCCUUGUUGCUUGUUUGUCUUGUUUGGGUAGAGCUGGCAGACGAGUUCGCUAACGAGGAGCCCGUUGAGUUUGCUUUCGAGGAUCCAAUCAACUCUGACAACUUUGCAGGCAAGAUGAUCAUACCCUCGAAAUCACUACUAUCUUUGCUUUGCUAGAUGCUCGCUCUUUUGCUAUGCCUAUGCUACGAUGCCUACCACUUACUUAUCAUGCCUCCCAAAUUGCCAUGUCAAACCUCUAACCCACCAUGUCCUAGCUAACCGUUGAUUGGCUAUGUUACCGCUUUGCUCAGCCCCUCAUAUAGUGUUGCUAGUUGCAGGUGAAGAUUGGAGACCGUUCCUUGGUGGGACAUUAUUUACUUGUUGGGAUAUCAUUAUAUUGCCAUGUUAUCUUAAUGCAUCUAUAUACUUGGUAAAGGGUGGAAGGCUCGGCCUCUCGCCUAGUGUUUUGUUCCACUCUUGCCGCCCUAGUUUCCGUCAUAUCGGUGUUAUGUUCCCGGAUUUUGUGUUCCUUACGCGGUUGGGUUAUAAUGGGAACCCCUUGAUAGUUCGCCUUGAUUAAAUCUUUUCCAGCAAUGCCCAACCUUGGUUUUACCAUUUGCCACCUAGCCUCUUUUUCCCUUGGGUUUCCGGAGCCCGAGGGUCAUCUUAUUUAAGCCCCCCCCCCCCGGGCCAGUGCUCCUCUGAGUGUUGGUCCAACCGAGCGAUGUCCGGGGCUACCAGGGGUAACUCUGGGCUGGCCUACCCGACGUCUGGCUCAUCUGAGUGUGCCCUGAGAACAAGAUAUGUGCAGCUCCUAUCGGGAUUUGUCGGCACAUUCGGGCGGUGUUGCUGGUUUUGUUUUAACUUGUCGAAGUGUCUUGAAGAACCGAGAUACCGAGUCUGAUCGGAAUGUCUCGGGAGGAGGUCUAUUCCUUCAUAGACCGUGAGAGCUUGUCAUGGGCUAAGUUGGGACUCCCCUGCAGGGAUUUGAACUUUCGAAAGCCGUGCCCGCAGUUAUGGGCAGAUGGGAAUUUGUUAAUGUCCGGUUGUAGAUAACUUGAACCUUAAUUUAAUUAAAAUGAAUCAACUGUGUGAGUUAUCGUGAUGGUCUCUUCUCGGCGGAGUCCGGGAAGUGAACACGGUGUUGGAGUAAUGCUUGCCGCAGGAUGCCCUCUAGUUACUCGCUCGCGCUUUGCCCUCUCUUCUCGCUCUCUUUUGCGAACAGGAUAGCCACCAUAUAUGCUAGUCGCUUGCUGCAGCUCCACAUAUUUUUCCUUGCCUUACCUAUUAAGCUUAAAUAGUCUUGAUCGCGAGGGUGCGAGAUUGCUGAGUCCCUGUGGCUCACAGAUUACUUCCAAACCAGAUGCAGGGCCAGAUGACUCUGUUCCAGAUGACGCGCUUGAGCUCAAGUGGGAGUUCGACAAGGACUCACGCCGAUACUACGUGUCUUUCCUGAUGAUCAGUAGUGGUGCCCAGUUGGGGUGAUCGUGAUAGAGGCAAAGGUGUCCCGUCUUUCGAUGAGAUGAUGGAUAUCGCUUUGGUGGAAGUCGACUUUGACGAUCCGACUACGAACGUACGAGGACGUCGCGCCUUAGCAAUCGCUAAACCAACUCCGAGAGGUUAUUGACCACGCCGGAGCACGAUCAACCUGACCACGAGGGUCUGUUUCCUGCGAGCAAACGAAGAACAAGCAAGAAACUAAGAUUGCAAUCUGGAUAUUGCGAAUAUAAGAUGAAAACUUUAUUGAUCAAGGUGGGGUUCUGUGACGCCUUUGUCUGGUCGUUGAACACAAACGAAGUACGCGAAGUUGCAGCUAUGGCGAACUUUUAAUCUAAAAAAAAACCCAAAGUCUAAACGGUGCCCUAAGGGCUGUAUAUAUGGAGGAAGAGAGGGGGAAUUUCGUGGCCCUUGGUGGAGGGGUCCGAAAUCAACCCUAUCUCUUGUUUCCCCACACAUACGGACUCUAAAAAUAGCCUAUACUUAUGUAUUUCGAAAUUACAUGGGCCAAUAAUAGCCUCUGGACGAAAUUUAUGAAGUGACAUCUUGUAUAUUUCGUCCAAGGCUUCAUGCACUUGUUAUGGAGGCUUCAAAGACCUGAAAUCAUCACUUGUAACUCUGUUCUUGUUCCCCUUGUGCAUGCCAUCAUCUCCAUGCUUGUUCUUGCUCCAAUGUUCAUCCUUCUCCAAGCUAGGCCCUUCAUUUGUAAGCAAAACAAAUGUAUCCAAUUUAGGCAGCAUCAUAUUCUCAUGAACAUUAGAAUCAUUACCAAGAAACGAAAGUACCUGGUAAUUUAGUUGGCGUGCGCGAGCUCUAGUAAUUGGUCCAGUAUGUAUAGCAGCAGGGGCUGUGGGUGUAACAAUGGUAUUGAUGUCCUCAUCAGAUCGGGACCGUGUCGCAUGUUGGGUUUGUCUUUUAUUUUGGCGCUGUAGUCGGGCCAUGAGUGUUUGAAUGUUGUAAUUCUAUUUAUGUACUUUGAUUGACGUGGCGAGUGUAAGCCAACUAUGUAUCUCCCCUUUUAUUAUCUAUAUUACAUGGGAUGUUGUGAAGAUUGCCUAACUUGCGACAUUGCUUUCAAUGCGAUUAUGCCUCUAAGUCGUGCCUCGACACAUGGGAGCUAUAGUCGCAUCGAGGGCGUUACAAGUUGGUAAUCAGAGCCUUCCCCGACCAUAGGAGCCCCCAUUGCUUCAUCGUUUUUAGUAGCCGUUGUUGAGUCUAGAAAAUUGUUUUGAGUCAUUUAGGAAUUAUAUAUCGGAGAGUUUAGGAAUUCUUUUUACUUCCCAGUCUCCUCAUCGCUCUGGUAAGGCAUCCUGACGUAGAGUUUUGACUCUUAUCUUCUCAAAUUUCACAAAAAAAUUAGGAUCACGCGGGUAUCUUGGAAUCGUUCCGAUGGUUUUGUGACGAGAACAUUGUUCUUGGUGCCUCCUGUCUUUAGGGGUUGUGGCAGUGUCCCGGGGAGUUGAGCUCCGAGGUGUUGUCGUCACAAUUUUAUCCUUGCAGUUCUGGAAUACCUGAGUUUAGUACGCCGACAUCGAAAAUCUCUUUUAUGCAGUUCGUUGGUGAGAUAACCUCGACGCCACCCAGUACUGGGGUGGGAGUUCGGGAGUAUCGCCAUAACUUGUAUAACGGAUGCUUUUCGAAGGUUGAGGUAGAUGGUUUCUGAAGUUUUUCUCGGUUAUGUGUUGAAGGAUGGAUACAGCUGGAUGUAGGAUUUGCUAGAUUUGGGUGAGAUAUUAUGCUUCCCCUGUAUCCCCAACACCUGAUUGCAUAACCGAAAAGGUUCGGGAGUUUCAUAGGUGGGAAUUCUUGUAGCUCUAGUUCUUCCACGGAUAUUUGGUUUGAGAUUGGGAUUUCUUACCGAGUAUUCGUUCUUGAUCCGUACCUUGUUAAUUUAUUUCUCUACCUAAAUUCUAAGUGGCUUCUCAAUUUAUGGAUAUGUGACCAUUUCAAGUGGAAUGCAUUCGUUCAUUUUGUUCGGAUGUGAAGACUUUAUGUUGCAAUUUCAACCCGUUUGAUUCAGCUUCAUUUUAUCUGUCAAUGUGCUAAUUGUUGUCACCCUCUUCAGGAUGGCUCCCGCUAAGAGCACCAAUCAGAAUCAGAAUCAGGAUCCGCCACCACCUCCACCUCCUCCGGAGGCAUGGCAAGCUCUGAUGGCCGCAACCAAUGCAAACACGCAGUUGAUCAUGCAAAUUCUUCAAGAGCGCAAUCAAGCGAACCAAGGCAACCAAGGCAACAAUCAGAAUCACUUUGCUACACUCAACCAGUUCCUUGCUAACGGGCCAAAGACUUUCAGCAAUUGUGUUGAGGCAACUGAUGCUGACGAUUGGCUCGUGGAUCUGUGCAAGCAUUUCGAGUGCAGUAACGUCAGGCCUGAGGACUUUGUCAAGUUCGCUUCCUUCCAACUCAAAGAUCAAGCUGCAGAAUGGUUCCAACAGUACAAGGAUUCCAGAGGAGGCCGUGUGAUUACUUGGGAUGAAUUCCGUCAAGACUUUAAAGCUCAUCAUAUCCCUUAGAGUGUGGUUGAAAGCAAGCGUGAGGAAUUCCGCAACCUGAAGCAAGGCUCUUUGUUUGUCUAUGACUACAACAAGUUGUUUCAGAAGCUCACCCGCUUUGCUAAGCAGGACGUCCCUGAUGAGAAGAGCAUGAUAUACCAGUUCAGGGGGGGUCUCAGAGAAGAAAUCCAGCUAGCUCUUGUUCUCUUUGAGCCCUUGAGGUACGAUGAGUUCUACAACAUGGCAUUGAAGCAAGAGGCUGCUCAACUGAGGUGUGAUGCUUCCAAGAAGCGAGUCACAGAUGCUACUCCUUCUUCCUCUACUCAAGUGGCCAAGUAGCAGAAGUAUUGGCUUCCUCCUCCUCAGUUCCGUCAGCCGUAUCAGCAGAAGAGCAAAGGUGGCAGUGGACCUUCCCAGCCACCCAACCCUGGCUUUCAAAACAAGACUUCGUCUCAAGCUCCAAGAUCGAGUGCUUCGUAUCACCGUCCGCUUUCAGUGGUCACGUGCAACAAGUGCCAACAGAAGGGUCACUAUGCCAACAAAUGCUUCAACCAGAGGCGCCUCCCUCCUCCUCCUCCGGUGAGAUCGGCAAGUACAGCUAUGGUCAAGCAUAACACCAAGUCCGCCAAGGUCAACUUGCUGAAUGCAGCUCAGGCAGAGGACUCGUCAGAUGUCAUCAUGGGUAACCUUCCUGUUAAUGAUAUUCCUGCAAAAGUUCUUUUUGACACAGGUGCAUCGCAUUGUUUCAUCUCGAGACCAUUUGUUUCUAAGCAUGAGUUGCCUUUACAAGAUUUGCCUAGACAGUUAUCUGUUGUUUCUCCGGGUAAAUUCAUGAAUGCAAGCGCUAUCGCCCCAGAUGUUACUAUCAUGUUGGGCGACUACAAGUUCCUUUCUUCUCCGGUGGUUCUUGGUAACUCGGAUAUUGAUCUUAUUCUCGGAAUGGAUUGGCUUUCUAAGCACAAGGCGCAUCUUGAUUGUGCUGCCAGGCAGAUUCAAUUGACUCAUUCGUCUGAGAAUAUAAUUGUCUUUGCCGCUCGUGAUGAUACCAUCUGUCUGUUUUCUCUCAAUGAGAAGGGUGAACUGGAUGCCAUCUCGCAAAUUCCAGUUGUUUGCGAAUAUCAAGACGUCUUUCCAGAAGAGCUUCCAGGAAUGCCUUCGCACCGGCCAGUUGAAUUCGUCAUUGAUCUUGAGCCCGGCACGGAACCUGUUUGCAAGCGUCCUUACAAGCUCGGACCUGAAGAGUUGAAGGAGUUGAAGAAGCAACUCGAUAUUCAAGAGGGUAUGGGUCUCAUCCAGCCUAGUUCUUCUCCGUGGGGUUGUGGUGUUCUUUUUGUGAAGAAGAAGGAUGGAACGGACCGACUUUGUGUUGAUUACCGUCCAUUGAACAAGAAGACCAUCAAGAACAAAUACCCACUUCCCAACAUCAACGAGCUGUUCGAACAACUCAAAGGCGCCCAAGUAUUCUCCAAGCUUGAUCUCCGUAUGGGUUAUCAUCAUAUUCGAAUCCGUGAGCAAGAUAUUCCCAAGACGGCUUUCAGGACAAGCUAUGGGUCAUAUGAAUACACUGUCAUGUCUUUUGGCCUCGUCAACGCUCCUCCGACUUUCUCUCACAUGAUGAACUUCAUCUUCAACGCCUACACCAAUGACUUCGUUUUGGUCUAUCUCGAUGACAUUCUGGUCUUUUCAAAGAACAAGGAAGAUCAUGCCAAGCACUUGCGUUUGGUACUCGAUAAGCUCAGGGAACACAAGUUCUACGCCAAGUUCUCCAAGUGCGAAUUUUGGCUUGAUGAGGUUCUUUAUCUUGGUCAUAUCAUCUCUGCCAAGGGCAUUGCGGUGAAUCCUGAGAAGGUGUCUGCAAUUGUGAAUUGGGAACCUCCUCAGAACGUGAAGCAACUCCGUAGCUUCCUCGAUCUCGAGAGCUAUUAUCGAAGAUUCGUUGAAAACUUUUCUAAGAUCGUGAAGCCUCUCUCAAAUCUUCUCCAGAAGCACGUCAAGUACGUUUGGUCUCCGGAGUGUGACAUUGCUUUCAACACUUUGAAAGAGAAAUUGGUCACUGCUCCAGUUCUGACUCCUCCUGAUGAAUCCAAACCGUACGAGGUCUUUUGUGAUGCCUCUCUCCAAGGUGUUGGCGCAGUGUUGAUGCAAGAGAAGAAAGUUGUGGCUUAUACCUCUCGCCAGUUGAAGCCCAACAAGAAGAACUACCACACUCAUGACCUUGAGUUGGCGGCAGUUGUGCAUGCUCUUUUGACUUGGAGACAUCUCUUAUUGGGAAGAAAAGUGGACAUUUUCACUAAUCACAAGAGUCUCAAGUACAUCUUCACUCAGCCUAAUCUCAACCUAAGGCAAACUCGAUGGGUCGAAAUGAUUCAAGAGUAUAAUCCGAGUAUCGAGUAUACUCCAGGCAAGGCCAAUGUGAUUGCUGACGCAUUGAGCAGGAAGGCUUACUGCAAUAGUCUGAUUCUCAAGCCUUAUCAACCCGAGCUUUGUGAAGCUUUCCGCAAACUUAAUCUGCAAGUUGUUCCUCAAGGUUUCCUCGACAACCUUCAAGUCGCUCCUACCUUGGAAGACCAGAUUCGCCAAGCCCAGCUUCUUGAUGCUAUGGUGAAGAAGGUGAAGAUGGGGAUUACCAAGAGUCAACCCAAGUACAAGUGCUACCGCCUUGAUGACAAGGAUACUCUCUUCUUCGAGGAUCGUAUUGUUGUGCCCAAAGGUGAUUUCGUAAGGUUAUCAUGAACGAGGCUCACAAUUCUCUCCUCUCCAUUCACCCUGGGAGCACGAAGAUUUCGGACCCCUCCACCAAGGGCCACGAAAUUCCCCCCUCUUCCUCCAUAUAUACAGCCCUUAGGGCAUCGUUUAGACUUUGGGUUUUGUUUAGAUUAAAAGUUCGCCAUAGCUGCAACUUCGCGUACUUCGUUUGUGUUCAACGACCAGACAAAGGCGUCACAGAACCCCACCUUGAUCAAUAAAGCUUUCAUCUUAUAUUCGCAAUAUCCAGAUUGCAAUCUCAGUUUCUUGCUUGUUCUUCGUUUGCUCGCAGGAAACAGACCCUCGUGGUCAGGUUGAUCGUGCUCCGGCGUGGUCAAUAACCUCUCGGAGUUGGUUUAGCGAUUGCUAAGGCGCGACGUCCUCGCACAUUCGUAGUCGGAUCGUCAAAGUCGACUUCCACCAAAGCGAAAUCCAUCAUCUCAUCGAAAGAGGGGACACCUCCGCCUCUAUCAAGUGGUAUCAGAUUUCCAGGUUGCUCGGUCAGAUUUUACAGUUUUUCGUAGUUUAGAUCGAGUCUGUUCUUCAUACCUACAGUCCACGAAAAAGCCACACAAAAAAAAUUAGGGUUAGUUCAUCAUAUCCGAACCAAUCUGAGCCUUUGCAUAAUUUUUUAGGGUUUUGCUUUGUUGAAUUUGCGGUUGCAUCGUCGGUCUAGUUGCUGGUUUUAGAGUCUAGUCUUUUAGAGUUUCGAGUUCUGGUCAUAAGUUGUCACGCCGUCGCCGCACCAUCAUCAUCGCCCCUGCCAUCUACCACCACCGUUUAUCCGCCACCGCUUCGAAUCCGUAUCCAUAUACCGCCACAGCAGUCAUAUACCACCACCGCUGCCAUCUACCACCAUAUAUCCACCACCAAUCCGAGUUCUUGUCAUAUUAGGUUUGUUUUCGAGAUCCAUCUAGAUUUCGAUUCGUGUUUCCUUGUCGGGUAGCCACGCUCCGUUUAGGCCCAAAAUUUUUCGAAAACGCAUUUUUCGAAAAAUUUUCUGGCUAUCCUAUUUUUAGGUGUUUCUGAGUGUUUUGAGACAGGUGCCAUUAUAGAAAGUUUUUUUUGACCCGUUUCCAGUUUUUUGGGUCCGGGCAGUCAAAAAAAAAAUUAGUCAAAAAAAAUUCGUGUCCAUCCUGUCAGUUUGAGCUAAGAAGAGUUUUGAGACACUCGCCAUUAUAGUGAUUUUUCGCAAAAAAAAGCAGCGCAAAAAAAAAGAGAGCGCAAAAAAAAAAAGAGCGAAAAAAAAAUCCAGAGUGUGCUUUUCCCUUGUUUACGUGCCGCGCCGUGAUUUUGUUAGUGUUCUAGGCUCGCGUCUCUAGCACAGUCUAGCCUAGGACCAGCACAGUACCGUCGUUGAGCGUUUAUUCAACUUUGCAUCUCUGAAUUGAUUAUUGCUGACCCUUUUUGCUACCAUAUUAUAAGCCUUCCCAGCUCCACAUACAUCUACGUCGUGCGUUUGACUCUCCCUGGUAAUCGCUCUAUCCAAGCUUUGAGAGUUUUUGACUACAACGGUUGCCGAUCACCGCCUGCUGCUGGGUAAGAACUGGUAAGAAUUUGAGAUUUGCUUGACAGAUUUGUGACACCCACCACCACCACUUGUUCGUAGUCUGUAGGAUCAUAUUCUGGUGUGUUUCUAUUGCUGCUAACCAUGCCAGGAUCACAAGCCGACGAGAUUGACUGGGAGAAUUUAUCGAACAAGGAGCUUCAUGAUAAGUUUCAGCAAAUGAUGACUGAACAGGUGCAAGAUGUGCUGAACAAUUUUGAAGAGGCCAUGGAGAAGAUCACUGGCCUUGAGAAGACGUUCGAAACAAAGCUCGAUAACAAGUUUAAUGAAUUGCUCGCGCGUCUUCCACCACCACCACCCGCUGCACCUAACGCACCUCUCCAACAACAACAACAACGACUACCUCCACGUCGCGAAGCAGACCUCCGCCGAGCAAGCCGUGUUCCUCUUGCGUUUGGCCAAACUGUUGGUGCUGCUGUUGAUACUUCUGUGGCUCCUGCCGCUGAUGUGGAGGAGGAUGAUUAUGUGGGAGAUUAUGAGGAUGAGGUUGAUCAAAAUCAACACUACGUGCAGCCACCUGUACCACCACCAGCAGGUCGACCUCAGGUAUAUAUUCGUAAUGGUAGGCCUGCACCACCACCUCAGGUACGAGAUGAUGUCCAUAUUCCUAAACUGAAAUUGAAUAUUCCACCAUUUGAGGGUAGAUAUGUUCCUGAUAUAUAUCUUACUUGGGAGUUAGAAACUGAACAACGAUUUACAUGUUUACAAUAUCCUGAGGAGAGACGAGUUGCUGCUGCUGUUUGUGCUUUCACUAGUUUUGCAUGUGUAUGGUGGUCUGAACAUUGUAGAUUAUAUCCUAUUCCAACUACUUGGGCUGCUUUGAAAACUGCUAUGCGUACGCGUUGGGUUCCACCAUAUUAUCAACGUGAAUUGCUUCAAAAAUUGCAGCGUUUAAGACAAGGAAAAAAUUCUGUAGAAGAAUAUUAUCAGGAAUUACAAACUGGCAUGAUUAGAUGUGGUAUUGUUGAGGAGAAUGAAGCUAUGCUUGCACGUUUUCUGGGUGGAUUAAAUAGAGAGAUUCAGACCAUUCUAGACUAUAAGGAGUAUACUAAUAUCACUCGUUUAUUCCAUCUUGCUUGUAAGGCUGAACGUGAAGUGCAGGAUCAACAAGCAUUGGGGCGAACUAACUUUUCUGCAGGCCGACCUUCAUCAUGGACACCACGUGCAUCUUCUACUUCAACUGCACCAGCACCUCCAUCCGGUGCCACCUCCAGCCGUGAUACAAGAAAACAGGCACAACCACCAUUAUCUGCCAAGAGCGCACCUGCGGGGCCUGCACAGCGUUCUUCUUCUUCCAUGGCAUCAACAGGGCACACAAGUGAUAUUAUUUGUCGUCGUUGUAAGGGAGGAGGUCAUUAUGCGAGAGGAUGCAAAUCUCCGCGUGUGAUGAUUGCUACCGCGGAUGGUGGAUAUGAGUCCGCUAGUGACUAUGAUGAGGAGACUUUGGCUCUUAUUACACGUGAAGAACAUGGUGGAGAUGAUUCUGAUCAUGAGACGCAAUACAUGGCUCCUGAAGACGCUGACAGGUAUGAAUGUUUAGUUGCUCAACGUGUUUUGAGUGUGCAGGUCACACAAGCUGAGCAAAAUCAGAGGCACAAUUUGUUCCAUACCAAGGGAGUUGUGAAGGAACGUUCUGUGCGCGUCAUAAUAGACGGAGGGAGCUGCAACAACUUGGCUAGCAUGGAGAUGGUGGAGAAGCUUUCUCUCACCACAAGACCACAUCCACAUCCUUACUACAUCCAAUGGUUCAACAACAGCGGCAAGGUUAAGGUAACACGUACUGUUCGUGUGCAUUUUAGUAUCUCUACAUAUGCUGAUUAUGUUGAUUGUGAUGUGGUACCUAUGCAAGCAUGUUCCUUAUUACUUGGUGAUAGAGGCAAAGGUGUCCCGUCUUUCGAUGAGAUGGUGAAUUUCGCUUUGGUGGAAGUCGACUUUGACGAUCCGACUACGAACGUGCGAGGACGUCGCGCCUUAGCAAUCGCUAAACCAACUCCGAGAGGUUAUUGACCACGCCGGAGCACGAUCAACCUGACCACGAGGGUCUGUUUCCUGCGAGCAAACGAAGAACAAGCAAGAAACUAAGAUUGCAAUCUGCAUAUUGCGAAUAUAAGAUGAAAGCUUUAUUGAUCAAGGUGGGGUUCUGUGACGCCUUUGUCUGGUCGUUGAACACAAACGAAGUACGCGAAGUUGCAGCUAUGGCGAACUUUUAAUCUAAACAAAACCCAAAGUCUAAACGAUGCCCUAAGGGCUGUAUAUAUGGAGGAAGAGGGGGGAAUUUCGUGACCCUUGGUGGAGGGGUCCGAAAUCAACCCUAUCUCUUGUUUCCCCACACAUACGGACUCUAAAAAUAGCCUAUACUUAUGUAUUUCGAAAUUACAUGGGCCUGGCCCAAUAAUAAGGUGACGCAACACCUAAAAUAGCCUCGGGACGAAAUUUAUGAAGUGGCAUCUUGUAUAUUUCGUCCAAGGCUUCAUGCACCCAUUAUGGUGGCUUCAAAGUCCUGAAAUCAUCACUUGUAACUCCGUUCUUGUUCCCCUUGCGCAUGCCAUCAUCUCCAUGCUUGUUCUUGCUCCAAUGUUCAUCCUUCUCCAAGCUAGACCCUUCAUUUGUAAGCAAAACAAAUGUAUCCAAUUUAGGCAGCAUCAUAUUCUCAUGAACAUUAGAAUCAUUACCAAGAAACGAAAGUACCUGGUAAUUUAGUUGGCGUGCACGAGCUCUAGUAAUUGGUCCAGUAUGUAUAGCAGCAGGGGCUGUGGGUGUAACAAUUGUAUUGAUGUCCUCAUCAUCCUCCCCUUCUUGAAAUGAAGUCGUCCUCGACGGAAGUUCAUCUUCCUCACCCAAAUAAGGCUUCAAAUCUGCAAUGUUAAAAGUGGGACUAACCCCAAAAUCUGCAGGCAGCUCAAGUUUAUAUGCAUUAUCAUUUAUUUUCUCUAACACCUUAAAGGGACCAUCAGCACGUGGCAUUAACUUUGAUUUGCGCAAAUCAGGAAAUCUAUCCUUACGCAAAUGUAACCAAACAAGAUCUCCAGGUGCAAACACAACAUGUUUUCUACCCUUAUCUAUAGCAAGUUUAUAUUUAGCAUUCAUGCGCUCAAUGUUUUCCUUAGUUAACUCAUGCAUUUUUAAAAUCAAUUCAGCACGUUGUUUAGCAUCAAAAUUAACCUUCUCCGAAGAUGGAAGAGGCAACAAAUCAAUAGGUGCACGAGGUAGGAAACCAUACACAACUUCAAAAGGGCACAUCUUAGUAGUAGAAUGCAAUGAACGAUUAUAAGCAAAUUCAAUAUGAGGCAAGCAUUCCUCCCACAUUUUCUUAUUAUUCUUCAAAACAGCCCUAAGCAUAGUAGACAACGUUCUAUUGACUACUUCAGUUUGUCCAUCAGUUUGGGGGUGACAAGUAGUACUAAAAAGCAGUUUAGUCCCCAACUUAGCCCAUAAACAUCUCCAAAAGUGGCUAAGAAAUUUAGUAUCACGAUCUGAAACAAUAGUAUUUGGCACACCAUGCAAGCGAAUAAUUUCACGAAAGAACAAAUCAGCAACAUUAACAACAUCAUCGCUUUUAUGACAUGGUAUAAAGUGUGCCAUUUUCGAGAAUCUAUCCACGACAACAAAUAUGCUAUCCCUCCCCUUCUUUGUUCGAGGUAAACCUAAAGCAAAGUCCAUAGAUAUAUCCUCCCAAGGAACACUAGGUACAGGCAAAGGCAUAUAUAAACCAUGAGGAUUGAGUCGUGACUUAGCUUUUUGACAUGUAGUGCAUCGAGCAAUAAAACGCUCAACAUCCCGUCUCAUCUUUGGCCAAAAGAAAUGUGUAGCAAGUACGUCCUCCGUCUUCUUCACGCCAAAGUGUCCCAUUAAUCCUCCUCCAUGCGCCUCCUGCAACAACAAAAGACGAACGGAGCUAGCUGGAAUGCAUAGCUUGUUAGCACGAAACACAAAUCCAUCGUUAACGACAAACUUGUUCCACAUUCUUCCUUCUUUACAAUUCUGCAUUACAUCUUUAAAAUCAGCAUCAUGCACAUAUUGAUCUUUGAUGGUCUCUAAACCAAAUAUUUUGAAGUCAAGUUGUGAAAGCAUAGUAUAGCGACGAGACAAUGCAUCAGCAAUAACAUUUUCUUUUCCCUUCUUGUGUUUAAUGACAUAAGGGAAAGUCUCAAUAAAUUCAACCCAUUUAGCAUGUCUACGAUUCAGUUUAGCUUGACUUUUAAUAUGUUUCAAAGAUUCAUGAUCAGAAUGUAUAACAAAUUCUUUGGGCCAUAAAUAAUGUUGCCAUGUUUCUAAAGUCCGAACAAGAGCAUAUAAUUCUUUAUCAUAAGUAGAAUAAUUCAGACUAGGCCCACUCAAUUUUUCAGAAAAGUAUGCAACAGGUUUGCCAUCUUGUAAUAACACACCUCCUAAUCCAAUUCCACUAGCAUCACAUUCAAGCUCAAAAGUCUUAUUAAAAUCAGGAAGUUGGAGUAAAGGAGCAUGUGUCAACUUAUCUUUCAAUACCGUGAAGGCUUCUUCCUGUGCGGUACCCCAAAGAAGAGGCACAUCUUUCUUUGUAAGCUCAUUGAGAGGUGCAGCAAUGGUGCUGAAAUCUCUCACAAAACGCCUAUAGAAUCCAGCGAGGCCAAGAAAACUCCUCACUUGUGUGACCGUUUUGGGCUGCGGCCAACUCUCAAUAGCUUCAAUCUUGGCUUUAUCAACUUCAAUUCCCUGUGGAGUAACAACAUAGCCAAGAAAAGAUACUCGGUCGGUGCAAAAGGUGCACUUCCCAAGGUUACCAAACAAACGUGCAUCACGUAGAGCAAUAAAAACAGCACGUAAAUGUUCCAAAUGUUCUUCCAAAGAUCUGCUAUAAAUCAAUAUGUCAUCAAAGUAAACUACCACAAAUCGUCCAAUGAAAGCACGUAAAACUUCGUUCAUUAAUCUCAUGAAAGUACUAGGUGCAUUAGUUAACCCAAAAGGCAUGACUAACCACUCAUAUAAUCCAAACUUAGUUUUUGAUAGAGGCGAGGGUCCCGAUCUUUCGAUGAGAUGAUGGAUAUCGCUUUGGUGGAAGUCGACUUUGACGAUCCGACUACGAACGUGCGAGGACGUCGCGCCUUAGCAAUCGCUAAACCAACUCCGAGAGGUUAUUGACCACGCCGGAGCACGAUCAACCUGACCACGAGGGUCUGUUUCCUGCGAGCAAACGAAGAACAAGCAAGAAACUAAGAUUGCAAUCUGGAUAUUGCGAAUAUAAGAUGAAAGCUUUAUUGAUCAAGGUGGGGUUCUGUGACGCCUUUGUCUGGUCGUUGAACACAAACGAAGUACGCGAAGUUGCAGCUAUGGCGAACUUUUAAUCUAAACAAAACCCAAAGUCUAAACGAUGCCCUAAGGGCUGUAUAUAUGGAGGAAGAGGGGGGGGAAUUUCGUGGCCCUUGGUGGAGGGAUCCGAAAUCAACCCUAUCUCUUGUUUCCCCACACAUACAGACUCUAAAAAUAGCCUAUACUUAUGUAUUUCGAAAUUACAUGGGCCUGGCCCAAUAAUAAGGUGACGCAGCACCUAAAAUAGCCUCGGGACGAAAUUUAUGAAGUGGCAUCUUGUAUAUUUCGUCCAAGGCUUCAUGCACCCAUUAUGGUGGCUUCAAAGUCCUGAAAUCAUCACUUGUAACUCCGUUCUUGUUCCCCUUGCGCAUGCCAUCAUCUCCAUGCUUGUUCUUGCUCCAAUGUUCAUCCUUCUCCAAGCUAGGCCCUUCAUUUGUAAGCAAAACAAAUGUAUCCAAUUUAGGCAGCAUCAUAUUCUCAUGAACAUUAGAAUCAUUACCAAGAAACGAAAGUACCUGGUAAUUUAGUUGGCGUGCACGAGCUCUAGUAAUUGGUCCAGUAUGUAUAGCAGCAGGGGCUGUGGGUGUAACAAUUGUAUUGAUGUCCUCAUCAGAAGUUGAUAAAGACAAGAUUGAAGCUAUUGAGAGUUGGCCGCAACCCAAAACGGUCACACAAGUGAGGAGUUUUCUUGGCCUCGCUGGAUUCUAUAGGCAUUUUGUGAGAGAUUUCAGCACCAUUGCUGCACCUCUCAAUGAGCUUACAAAGAAAGAUGUGCCUUUUCUUUGGGGUACCGCACAGGAAGAAGCCUUCACGGUAUUGAAAGAUAAGUUGACACAUGCUCCUUUACUCCAACUUCCUGAUUUUAAUAAGACUUUUGAGCUUGAAUGUGAUGCUAGUGGAAUUGGAUUAGGAGGUGUGUUAUUACAAGAUGGCAAACCUGUUGCAUACUUUUCUGAAAAAUUGAGUGGGCCUAGUCUGAAUUAUUCUACUUAUGAUAAAGAAUUAUAUGCUCUUGUUCGGACUUUAGAAACAUGGCAACAUUAUUUAUGGCCCAAAGAAUUUGUUAUACAUUCUGAUCAUGAAUCUUUGAAACAUAUUAAAAGUCAAGCUAAACUGAAUCGUAGACAUGCUAAAUGGGUUGAAUUUAUUGAGACUUUCCCUUAUGUCAUUAAACACAAGAAGGGAAAAGAAAAUGUUAUUGCUGAUGCAUUGUCUCGUCGCUAUACUAUGCUUUCACAACUUGACUUCAAAAUAUUUGGUUUAGAGACCAUCAAAGAUCAAUAUGUGCAUGAUGCUGAUUUUAAAGAUGUAAUGCAGAAUUGUAAAGAAGGAAGAAUGUGGAACAAGUUUGUCGUUAACGAUGGAUUUGUGUUUCGUGCUAACAAGCUAUGCAUUCCAGCUAGCUCCGUUCGUCUUUUGUUGUUGCAGGAGGCGCAUGGAGGAGGAUUAAUGGGACACUUUGGCGUGAAGAAGACGGAGGACGUACUUGCUACACAUUUCUUUUGGCCAAAGAUGAGACGGGAUGUUGAGCGUUUUAUUGCUCGAUGCACUACAUGUCAAAAAGCUAAGUCACGACUCAAUCCUCAUGGUUUAUAUAUGCCUUUGCCUGUACCUAGUGUUCCUUGGGAGGAUAUAUCUAUGGACUUUGCUUUAGGUUUACCUCGAACAAAGAAGGGGAGGGAUAGCAUAUUUGUUGUCGUGGAUAGAUUCUCGAAAAUGGCACACUUUAUACCAUGUCAUAAAAGCGAUGAUGUUGUUAAUGUUGCUGAUUUGUUCUUUCGUGAAAUUAUUCGCUUGCAUGGUGUGCCAAAUACUAUUGUUUCAGAUCGUGAUACUAAAUUUCUUAGCCACUUUUGGAGAUGUUUAUGGGCUAAGUUGGGGACUAAACUGCUUUUUAGUACUACUUGUCACCCCCAAACUGAUGGACAAACUGAAGUAGUCAAUAGAACGUUGUCUACUAUGCUUAGGGCUGUUUUGAAGAAUAAUAAGAAAAUGUGGGAGGAAUGCUUGCCUCAUAUUGAAUUUGCUUAUAAUCGUUCAUUGCAUUUCUACUACUAAGAUGUGCCCUUUUGAAGUUGUGUAUGGUUUCCUACCUCGUGCACCUAUUGAUUUGUUGCCUCUUCCAUCUUCGGAGAAGGUUAAUUUUGAUGCUAAACAACGUGCUGAAUUGAUUUUAAAAAUGCAUGAGUUAACUAAGGAAAACAUUAAGCGUAUGAAUGCUAAAUAUAAACUUGCUGGAGAUAAGGGUAGAAAACAUGUUGUGUUUGCACCUGGAGAUCUUGUUUGGUUACAUUUGCGUAAGGAUAGAUUUCCUGAUUUGCGCAAAUCAAAGCUAAUGCCACGUGCUGAUGGUCCCUUUAAGGUGUUAGAGAAAAUAAAUGAUAAUGCAUAUAAACUUGAGCUGCCUGCAGAUUUUGGGGUUAGUCCCACUUUUAACAUUGCAGAUUUGAAGCCUUAUUUGGGUGAGGAAGAUGAACUUCCGUCGAGGACGACUUCAUUUCAAGAAGGGGAGGAUGAUGAGGACAUCAAUACAAUUGUUACACCCACAGCCCCUGCUGCUAUACAUACUGGACCAAUUACUAGAGCCCGUGCACGCCAACUAAAUUACCAGGUACUUUCGUUUCUUGGUAAUGAUUCUAAUGUUCAUGAGAAUAUGAUGCUGCCUAAAUUGGAUACAUUUGUUUUGCUUACAAAUGAAGGGCCUAGCUUGCAGAAGGAUGAACAUUGGAGCAAGAACAAGCAUGGAGAUGAUGGCAUGCGCAAGGGGAACAAGAACGGAGUUACAAGUGAUGAUUUCAGGACUUUGAAGCCACCAUAAUGGGUGCAUGAAGCCUUGGACGAAAUAUACAAGAUGCCACUUCAUAAAUUUCGUCCCGAGGCUAUUUUAGGUGUUGCGUCACCUUAUUAUUGGGCCAGGCCCAUGUAAUUUCGAAAUACAUAAGUAUAGGCUAUUUUUAGAGUCCGUAUGUGUGGGGAAACAAGAGAUAGGGUUGAUUUCGGACCCCUCCACCAAGGGCCACGAAAUUUCCCCCUCUUCCUCCAUAUAUACAGCCCUUAGGGCAUCGUUUAGACUUUGGGUUUUGUUUAGAUUAAAAGUUCGCCAUAGCUGCAACUUCGCGUACUUCGUUUGUGUUCAACCACCAGACAAAGGCGUCACAGAACCCCACCUUGAUCAAUAAAGCUUUCAUCUUAUAUUCGCAAUAUUCAGAUUGCAAUCUCAGUUUCUUGCUUGUUCUUCGUUUGCUCGCAGGAAACAGACCCUCGUGGUCAGGUUGAUCGUGCUCCGGCGUGGUCAAUAACCUCUCGGAGUUGGUUUAGCGAUUGCUAAGGCGCGACGUCCUCGCACGUUCGUAGUCGGAUCGUCAAAGUCGACUUCCACCAAAGCGAAAUCCAUCAUCUCAUCGAAAGAGGGGACACCUCCGCCUCUAUCAUCAUGUCAUCAUGUGCAUUGCAUUGCAUACGUGUUCAUCUCUUGCAUUCGAGCAUUUUCCCCGUUGUCCGUUUUGCAUUCCGGCGCUUCGUUCUCCUCCAGUGGUCAUUUCUACCUUUCUUUCGUGUGUGGGGAUUAAACAUUUCCGGAUUGGACCGAGACUUGCCAAGCGGCCUUGGUUUACUACCGAUAGACCGCCUGUCAAGUUUCAUACCAUUUGGACUUCGUUUGAUGCUCCAACGGUUAACCGAUGGACCGAAAAGGCCUCGUGUGUGUUGCAGCCCAACACCCCUCCAAGUUAGCCCAAAACCCUCUCCAUUGUCUAGAGCGUUCGAUCACCAUCGCGUGGCCGAAAACCGCACCUCAUUUGGACUCUCCUAGCUCCCUCCACCUCUAUAUAAAGAACCCCCCAUUUCAAUUCACGGACGAAACCCUAGAACCACCCACCUCUCGCGUCGGCGGACAUUUUUUUGUCCGGCCGGACACGUCCGGAUCCACCCGCCGCCGCCACGUCAGCUCCCGCGAGCCCCACAUCGCCGCCGCCGCUCGGGGCCCGCCAGGCUCGCGGGAGGCCCUCCCGGGCCCAUCGACCGCGCCGCCCCGCGCCCUCCUCCGUCCCUACGCCCGAUGCCCGGCGCUGCCGCGCGCCAUUACCGGCCUCGCCGCUCCGGCGAGUCACCGCCGCCCUGCAGCACCCCGACGCCGCCGGCCGCCGCCUCCCCGAGGCCUCGCCGACUGAUAGAGGCUAAGGUGUCCCGUCUUUCGAUGAGAUGAUGGAUAUCGCUUUGGUGGAAGUCGACUUUGACGAUCCGACUACGAACGUGCAAAGACGUCGCGCCUUAGCAAUCGCUAAACCAACUCCGAGAGGUUAUUGACCACGCCGGAGCACGAUCAACCUGACCACGAGGGUCUGUUUCCUGCGAGCAAACGAAGACCAAGCAAGAAACUGAGAUUGCAAUCUGGAUAUUGCGAAUAUAAGAUGAAAGCUUUAUUGAUCAAGGUGGGGUUCUGUGACGCCUUUGUCUGGUCGUUGAACACAAACGAAGUACGCGAGUUGCAGCUAUGGCGAACUUUUAAACUAAACAAAACCCAAAGUCUAAACGAUGCCCUAAGGGCUGUAUAUAUGGAGGAAGAGGGGGGGAAUUUCGUGGCCCUUGGUGGAGGGGUCCGAAAUCAACCCUAUCUCUUGUUUCCCCACACAUACGGACUCUAAAAAUAGCCUAUACUUAUGUAUUUCGAAAUUACAUGGGCCUGGCCCAAUAAUAAGGUGACGCAGCACCUAAAAUAGCCUCGGGACGAAAUUUAUGAAGUGGCAUCUUGUAUAUUUCGUCCAAGGCUUCAUGCACCCAUUAUGGUGGCUUCAAAGUCCUGAAAUCAUCACUUGUAACUCCGUUCUUGUUCCCCUUGCGCAUGCCAUCAUCUCCAUGCUUGUUCUUGCUCCAAUGUUCAUCCUUCUCCAAGCUAGGCCCUUCAUUUGUAAGCAAAACAAAUGUAUCCAAUUUAGGCAGCAUCAUAUUCUCAUGAACAUUAGAAUCAUUACCAAGAAACGAAAGUANNNNNNNNNNNNNNNNNNNNNNNNNNNNNNNNNNNNNNNNNNNNNNNNNNNNNNNNNNNNNNNNNNNNNNNNNNNNNNNNNNNNNNNNNNNNNNNNNNNNCCCGAGGCUAUUUUAGGUGCUGCGUCACCUUAUUAUUGGGCCAGGCCCAUGUAAUUUCGAAAUACAUAAGUAUAGGCUAUUUUUAGAGUCCGUAUGUGUGGGGAAACAAGAGAUAGGGUUGAUUUCGGACCCCUCCACCAAGGGCCACGAAAUUCCCCCCUCUUCCUCCAUAUAUACAGCCCUUAGGGCAUCGUUUAGACUUUGGGUUUUGUUUAGAUUAAAAGUUCGCCAUAGCUGCAACUUCGCGUACUUCGUUUGUGUUCAACGACCAGACAAAGGCGUCACAGAACCCCACCUUGAUCAAUAAAGCUUUCAUCUUAUAUUCGCAAUAUCCAGAUUGCAAUCUUAGUUUCUUGCUUGUUCUUCGUUUGCUCGCAGGAAACAGACCCUCGUGGUCAGGUUGAUCGUGCUCCGGCGUGGUCAAUAACCUCUCGGAGUUGGUUUAGCGAUUGCUAAGGCGCGACGUCCUCGCACGUUCGUAGUCGGAUCGUCAAAGUAGACUUCCACCAAAGCGAAAUUCACCAUCUCAUUGAAAGACGGGACACCUUUGCCUCUAUCACGAGAGAAUGCAAAUCUCCGCGUGUGAUGAUUGCUACCGCGGAUGGUGGAUAUGAGUCCGCUAGUGACUAUGAUGAGGAGACUUUGGCUCUUAUUACACGUGAAGAACAUGGUGGAGAUGAUUCUGAUCAUGAGACGCAAUACAUGGCUCCUGAAGACGCUGACAGGUAUGAAUGUUUAGUUUCUCAACGUGUUUUGAGUGUGCAGGUCACACAAGCUGAGCAAAAUCAGAGGCACAAUUUGCUCCAUACCAAGGGAGUUGUGAAGGAACGUUCUGUGCGCGUCAUCAUAGACGGAGGUACUUGCAACAACUUGGCUACCAUGGAGAUGGUGGAGAAGCUUUCUCUCACCACAAGACCACGUCCACAUCCUUACUACAUCCAAUGGUUCAACAACAGCGGCAAGGUUAAGGUAACACGUACUGUUCGUGUGCAUUUUAGUAUCUCUACACAUGCUGAUUAUGUUGAUUGUGACGUGGUACCUAUGCAAGCAUGUUCCUUAUUACUUGGUAGACCAUGGCAAUUUGAUAAAAAAUCUGUACACCAUGGUAGAAACAAUCACUAUACUCUUGUUCAUAAGGAUAACAAUAUUACUUUGCUUCCUAUGACUCCUAAUUCCAUUUUGAAAGAUGAUAUUAAUAGAGCUAAUAAAGCACAACAAGAGAAGAAUAAGAGUGAAAAUCAGAUUGUGGCAAAAGAAUUUGAGCAACAAAUGAAGCCUAAUAAUAAACCAUCUAGUGUUGCUUCUGAAAUUAAAUUGAAAAGUGCAUGUUUAUUUGCCACCAAAUCUGAUAUUGAUAAGCUAGAUUUCAGCAAAUCUGUUUGCUAUGCUUUUGUGUGCAAAGAGGCAUUAUUUUCAUUCGAGGACAUGCCUUCCUCUUUGCCUCCUGCUGUCACUAACAUUUUGCAGGAGUUCGCUGACGUUUUUCCACAAGACGUGCCACCGGGAUUACCGCCUAUUCGAGGGAUUGAGCAUCAGAUUGACUUAAUUCCCGGUGCUUCACUGCCAAACCGUGCACCAUACCGUACCAAUCCAGAGGAGACGAAGGAGAUUAUGCGUCAAGUACAAGAGCUUCUCGACAAAGGUUAUAUACGCGAAUCCCUUAGUCCUUGUGCUGUUCCUAUUAUUCUAGUGCCGAAAAAGGAUGGUACAUCACGUAUGUGUGUUGAUUGUAGAGGCAUUAAUAAUAUUACUAUUCGUUAUCGUCAUCCUAUUCCUAGGCUAGAUGAUAUGCUUGAUGAAUUGAGUGGCUCUACAAUAUUCUCCAAAGUUGAUUUGCGUAGUGGCUACCAUCAAAUUCGUAUGAAAUUGGGAGAUGAAUGGAAAACUGCAUUUAAAACUAAGUUUGGAUUAUAUGAGUGGUUAGUCAUGCCUUUUGGGUUAACUAAUGCACCUAGUACUUUCAUGAGAUUAAUGAACGAAGUUUUACGUGCUUUCAUUGGACGAUUUGUGGUAGUUUACUUUGAUGACAUAUUGAUUUAUAGCAGAUCUUUGCAGGAACAUUUGGAACAUUUACGUGCUGUUUUUAUUGCUCUACGUGAUGCACGUUUGUUUGGUAACCUUGGGAAGUGCACCUUUUGCACCGACCGAGUAUCUUUUCUUGGCUAUGUUGUUACUCCACAGGGAAUUGAAGUUGAUAAAGCCAAGAUUGAAGCUAUUGAGAGUUGGCCGCAGCCCAAAACGGUCACACAAGUGAGGAGUUUUCUUGGCCUCGCUGGAUUCUAUAGGCGAUUUGUGAGAGAUUUCAGCACCAUUGCUGCACCUCUCAAUGAGCUUACAAAGAAAGAUGUGCCUUUUCCUUGGGGUACCGCACAGGAAGAAGCCUUCACGGUAUUGAAAGAUAAGUUGACACAUGCUCCUUUACUCCAACUUCCUGAUUUUAAUAAGACUUUUGAGCUUGAAUGUGAUGCUAGUGGAAUUGGAUUAGGAGGUGUGUUAUUACAAGAUGGCAAACCUGUUGCAUACUUUUCUGAAAAAUUGAGUGGGCCUAGUCUGAAUUAUUCUACUUAUGAUAAAGAAUUAUAUGCUCUUGUUCGGACUUUAGAAACAUGGCAACAUUAUUUAUGGCCCAAAGAAUUUGUUAUACAUUCUGAUCAUGAAUCUUUGAAACAUAUUAAAAGUCAAGCUAAACUGAAUCGUAGACAUGCUAAAUGGGUUGAAUUCAUUGAGACUUUCCCUUAUGUCAUUAAACACAAGAAGGGAAAAGAAAAUGUUAUUGCUGAUGCAUUGUCUCGUCGCUAUACUAUGUGAUGAGGACAUCAAUACAAUUGUUACACCCACAGCCCCUGCUGCUAUACAUACUGGACCAAUUACUAGAGCUCGUGCACGCCAACUAAAUUACCAGGUACUUUCGUUUCUUGGUAAUGAUUAUAAUGUUCAUGAGAAUAUGAUGCUGCCUAAAUUGGAUACAUUUGUUUUGCUUACAAAUGAAGGGCCUAGCUUGGAGAAGGAUGAACAUUGGAGCAAGAACAAGCAUGGAGAUGAUGGCAUGCGCAAGGGAAACAAGAACGGAGUUACAAGUGAUGAUUUCAGGACUUUGAAGCCACCAUAAUGGGUGCAUGAAGCCUUGGACGAAAUAUACAAGACGCCACUUCAUAAAUUUCGUCCCGAGGCUAUUUUAGGUGCUGCGUCACCUUAUUAUUGGGCCAGGCCCAUGUAAUUUCGAAAUACAUAAGUAUAGGCUAUUUUUAGAGUCCGUAUGUGUGGGGAAACAAGAGAUAGGGUUGAUUUCGGACUCCUCCACCAAGGGCCACGAAAUUCCCCCCCUCUUCCUCCAUAUAUACAGCCCUUAGGGCAUCGUUUAGACUUUGGGUUUUUGUUUAGAUUAAAAGUUCGCCAUAGCUGCAACUUCGCGUACUUCGUUUGUGUUCAACGACCAGACAAAGGCGUCACAGAACCCCACCUUGAUCAAUAAAGCUUUCAUCUUAUAUUCUGAUGAGGACAUCAAUACAAUUGUUACACCCACAGCCCCUGCUGCUAUACAUACUGGACCAAUUACUAGAGCUCGUGCACGCCAACUAAAUUACCAGGUACUUUCGUUUCUUGGUAAUGAUUCUAAUGUUCAUGAGAAUAUGAUGCUGCCUAAAUUGGAUACAUUUGUUUUGCUUACAAAUGAAGGGCCUAGCUUGGAGAAGGAUGAACAUUGGAGCAAGAACAAGCAUGGAGAUGAUGGCAUGCGCAAGGGAAACAAGAACGGAGUUACAAGUGAUGAUUUCAGGACUUUGAAGCCACCAUAAUGGGUGAAUGAAGCCUUGGACGAAAUAUACAAGACGCCACUUCAUAAAUUUCGUCCCGAGGCUAUUUUAGGUGCUGCGUCACCUUAUUAUUGGGCCAGGCCCAUGUAAUUUCGAAAUACAUAAGUAUAGGCUAUUUUUAGAGUCCGUAUGUGUGGGGAAACAAGAGAUAGGGUUGAUUUCGGACCCCUCCACCAAGGGCCACGAAAUUCUCCCCCUCUUCCUCCAUAUAUACAGCCCUUAGGGCAUCGUUUAGACUUUGGGUUUUGUUUAAAUUAAAAGUUCGCCAUAGCUGCAACUUCGCGUACUUCGUUUGUGUUCAACGACCAGACAAAGGCGUCACAGAACCCCACCUUGAUCAAUAAAGCUUUCAUCUUAUAUUCGCAAUAUCCAGAUUGCAAUCUUAGUUUCUUGCUUGUUCUUCGUUUGCUCGCAGGAAACAGACCCUCGUGGUCAGGUUGAUCGUGCUCCAGCGUGGUCAAUAACCUCUCGGAGUUGGUUUAGCGAUUGCUAAGGCGCGACGUCCUCGCACGUUCGUAGUCGGAUCGUCAAAGUCGACUUCCACCAAAGCGAAAUCCAUCAUCUCAUCGAAAGACGGGACACCUUUGCCUCUAUCAACGUAUGUGUGUUGAUUGUAGAGGCAUUAAUAAUAUUACUAUUCGUUAUCGUCAUCCUAUUCCUAGGCUAGAUGAUAUGCUUGAUGAAUUAAGUGGCUCUACAAUAUUCUCCAAAGUUGAUUUGCGUAGUGGCUACCAUCAAAUUCGUAUGAAAUUGGGAGAUGAAUGGAAAACUGCAUUUAAAACUAAGUUUGGAUUAUAUGAGUGGUUAGUCAUGCCUUUUGGGUUAACUAAUGCACCUAGUACUUUCAUGAGAUUAAUGAACGAAGUUUUACGUGCUUUCAUUGGACGAUUUGUGGUAGUUUACUUUGAUGACAUAUUGAUUUAUAGCAGAUCUUUGGAGGAACAUUUGGAACAUUUACGUGCUGUUUUUAUUGCUCUACGUGAUGCACGUUUGUUUGGUAACCUUGGGAAGUGCACCUUUUGCACCGACCGAGUAUCUUUUCUUGGCUAUGUUGUUACUCCACAGGGAAUUGAAGUUGAUAAAGCCAAGAUUGAAGCUAUUGAGAGUUGGCCGCAGCCUAAAACGGUCACACAAGUGAGGAGUUUUCUUGGCCUCGCUGGAUUCUAUAGGCGUUUUGUGAGAGAUUUUAGCACCAUUGCUGCACCUCUCAAUGAGCUUACAAAGAAAGAUGUGCCUUUUCUUUGGGGUACCGCACAGGAAGAAGCCUUCACGGUAUUGAAAGAUAAGUUGACACAUGCUCCUUUACUCCAACUUCCUGAUUUUAAUAAGACUUUUGAGCUUGAAUGUGAUGCUAGUGGAAUUGGAUUAGGAGGUGUGUUAUUACAAGAUGGCAAACCUGUUGCAUACUUUUCUGAAAAAUUGAGUGGGCCUAGUCUGAAUUAUUCUACUUAUGAUAAAGAAUUAUAUGCUCUUGUUCGGACUUUAGAAACAUGGCAACAUUAUUUAUGGCCCAAAGAAUUUGUUAUACAUUCUGAUCAUGAAUCUUUGAAACAUAUUAAAAGUCAAGCUAAACUGAAUCGUAGACAUGCUAAAUGGGUUGGAUUCAUUGAGAUUUCCCUUAUGUCAUUAAAGACAAGAAGGGAAAAGAAAAUGUCAUUGCUGAUGCAUUGUCUCGUCGCUAUACUAUGCUUUCACAACUUGACUUCAAAAUAUUUGGUUUGGAGACCAUCAAAGAUCAAUAUGUGCAUGAUGCUGAUUUUAAAGAUGUAAUGCAGAAUUGUAAAGAAGGAAGAAUGUGGAACAAGUUUGUUGUUAACGAUGGAUUUGUGUUUCGUGCUAACAAGCUAUGCAUUCCAGCUAGCUCCGUUCGUCUUUUGUUGUUGCAGGAGGCGCAUGGAGGAGGAUUAAUGGGACACUUUGGCGUGAAGAAGACGGAGGACGUACUUGCUACACAUUUCUUUUGGCCAAAGAUGAGACGGGAUGUUGAGCGUUUUAUUGCUCGCUGCACUACAUGUCAAAAAGCUAAGUCACGACUCAAUCCUCAUGGUUUAUAUAUGCCUUUGCCUGUACCUAGUGUUCCUUGGGAGGAUAUAUCUAUGGACUUUGUUUUAGGUUUACCUCAAACAAAGAAGGGGAGGGAUAGCAUAUUUGUUGUCGUGGAUAGAUUCUCGAAAAUGGCACACUUUAUACCAUGUCAUAAAAGCGAUGAUGCUGUUAAUGUUGCUGAUUUGUUCUUUCGUGAAAUUAUUCGCUUGCAUGGUGUGCCAAAUAUUAUUGUUUCAGAUCGUGAUACUAAAUUUCUUAGCCACUUUUGAAGAUGUUUAUGGGCUAAGUUGGGGACUAAACUGCUUUUUAGUACUACUUGUCACCCCCAAACUGAUGGACAAACUGAAGUAGUCAAUAGAACGUUGGGGACUAAACUGAAGUAGUCAACAACGUGCUGAAUUGAUUUUAAAAAUGCAUGAGUUAACUAAGGAAAACAUUGAGCGUAUGAAUGCUAAAUAUAAACUUGCUGGAGAUAAGGGUAGAAAACAUGUUGUGUUUGCACCUGGAGAUCUUGUUUGGUUACAUUUGCGUAAGGAUAGAUUUCCUGAUUUGUGCAAAUCAAAGCUAAUGCCACGUGCUGAUGGUCCCUUUAAGGUGUUAGAGAAAAUAAAUGAUAAUGCAUAUAAACUUGAGCUGCCUGCAGAUUUUGGGGUUAGUCCCACUUUUAACAUUGCAGAUUUGAAGCCUUAUUUGGGUGAGGAAGAUGAACUUUCGUCGAGGACGACUUCAUUUCAAGAAGGGGAGGAUGAUGAGGACAUCAAUACAAUUGUUACACCCACAGCCCCUGCUGCUAUACAUACUGGACCAAUUACUAGAGCUCGUGCAUGCCAACUAAAUUACCAGGUACUUUCGUUUCUUUGUAAUGAUUCUAAUGUUCAUGAGAAUAUGAUGCUGCCUAAAUUGGAUACAUUUGUUUUGCUUACAAAUGAAGGGCCUAGCUUGGAGAAGGAUGAACAUUGGAGCAAGAACAAGCAUGGAGAUGAUGGCAUGCGCAAGGGAAACAAGAACGGAGUUACAAGUGAUGAUUUCAGGACUUUGAAGCCACCAUAAUGGGUGCAUGAAGCCUUGGACGAAAUAUACAAGAUGCCACUUCAUAAAUUUCGUCCCGAGGCUAUUUUAGGUGCUGCGUCACCUUAUUAUUGGGCCAGGCCCAUGUAAUUUCGAAAUACAUAAGUAUAGGCUAUUUUUAGAGUCCGUAUGUGUGGGGAAACAAGAGAUAGGGUUGAUUUCGCACCCCUCCACCAAGGGCCACGAAAUUCCCCUCUCUUCCUCCAUAUAUACAGCCCUUAGGGCAUCGUUUAGACUUUGGGUUUUGUUUAGAUUAAAAGUUCGCCAUAGCUGCAACUUCGCGUACUUCGUUUGUGUUCAACGACCAGACAAAAGCGUCACAGAACCCCACCUUGAUCAAUAAAGCUUUCAUCUUAUAUUCGCAAUAUCCAGAUUGCAAUCUUAGUUUCUUGCUUGUUCUUCGUUUGCUCGCAGGAAACAGACCCUCGUGGUCAGGUUGAUCGUGCUCCGGCGUGGUCAAUAACCUCUCGGAGUUGGUUUAGCGAUUGCUAAGGCGCGACGUCUUCGCACGUUCGUAGUCGGAUCGUCAAAGUCGACUUCCACCAAAGCGAAAUCCACCAUCUCAUCGAAAGACGGGACACCUUUGCCUCUAUCAUGAUGUAACACCUUUGGACUUGUAGUUUGACUCGGAUUCUGCUGCAGCAUCAGAUUGUUUCGUUCACAACUCAACGCUCCGGACGAAUUUGAAGGUGAUUCCAAUUGGGUUGGAAAGUGCACGAAAUCUAGUUUGCAACAAAAAAAGAAUCACCCAAUUCGGAGUCCGUAUGAAAAACCUGUGUGCGUUUUGAGUCAGGUAUGUCUGUGCAGUCCGAAUCUGAAUCCAGAACGUGAGAGACUUGGACUCUAUCUUCUCUUGGGCCAAAAGUGACGUGAGAGAACUUUUUGGACAGAAAAUAAACAUCUCUUUCUUCCUUAUCUUCAUAUGUGGAUUGUACAAAUGUCCCAUACACCUGCAAUUAGACAAAACACAAAAGUGUGUGAAGUAUUUUUGUUCUGGAUAACAUAAAUAGAUUAUUGAAUAAUUUGCACUAGAAAUCACCUGACAAAUAUGCAUAUAUGCAAUAUUUUUGGUCAUAUCCAAGGUAGUCAUGUCCUCAUCAGUAAGCCUAUGCGGGAGUUAUGGUGGUGGUGGUGGUUGAUGAAGAAGCAAUCAUCCAUAAGUAGCCUAAACACCUUAGGAGACUCGAAUCACCCCUCAAGCAACCUUUAAUGCGAUGGGUAACAAAAUUGGUUAGGUUGCGGAAGUCGAUGGUGGUUAUGCGGAGGUUGUGGUUGUAGCCCUAGGCAAAGAUGCCAAAGUUCCAAAUAUUUGAUGGAGUCAAAUGGUUAUGGUAGUAUUUUUUUUGGAAGGGGGAUGUCAAGAGCUUUUCAAUGAGCUAAAGAACGCGAAAAUCGGACUCCGGAUGAAUUAGUUAUGGACAAAACGGUGAAACGGGGAAGGCUGAAAUCCCAGGGGCCGGACAUCCGGGGGUGGGGGCUGGAUAUCCGGGGGCUGAUGUCCAGAACCGUGCGGGUUUUAUGCUCCAGGAGCUGGAUGUCCGGCCCGAUGGCCCGGAUGUCCGGCCCGACGAAUCCAGAUCUUGUUUGGGGCUGAAAUUGAUGAUUCCAAGGGCAAAAUUUGAUGGAUUUUGUGGAUGGAAAGUGGGGAAAAUUGGGGAUAUGCUGGAUCCACUCGAAACCAAGCAAAUCCAUGGAUCAAAAUCAACAAAACUUCGUCAAACCAACAAAUCACAAAAAAAAAUUGGGGCUAUUUUUGUGGGGAAUUUUCGAAAUUGGGGAAGAACACAACAAAAUUAGGUUAGAAAACACAACGGCGAGGCUCCGAAAUCGUGAUCAACCUGGCUCAUGAUACCAAGAUGAUGUAGGGUAGAACCCUAAUCGGCCGAUAUUUCACGAAAGGAGCGGAUCCCACAAAGAACACGAGGAACACGAGGGUGAAAACGAGGGGAAACACGAGAGAAUCACUCAACCAACAAGAAAUAGUCACACAUGUGCUAGAUCCUCGAGUACAUAAAGUAAGAUACACGAUCCAUGAUCAACUAGGGAUGAUACACGGUAACCGGUCUUCUCCGUGAGGAGGUCUUGAAGUUCUUCUCCAAAAGGAGGUCUUGAAUCCAAAGGGAUCUUCUCCAUAGAGGCCGCGGUCUCUCUCGUGGAGUAGAUCCGAUGUGGAUGAGCAAUGCUCUAUCUCUAAAAUGAGCUAAACCAAUGCUAACCCUAACUAGAAGGAGGUUGAUGCGGAGCAUCCCACGUUCAUCCCCAUGUACACUCCGACUACUCUCCAAGCCCUAAGAGAACAUAAGACGAGACCUCAUCUAUACACCAUUGGACACAAGGUGAACUCUCUCCUCUUCGAACCAUCACUUUCCAUACGUGAGACAUGGCUACUACCUCAUACAUGUGUGCUAUGCAUGACCAGGAACCAAGAGGAAGACCAUGGACAAGAAGGCGAGGACACCAAGCGCGAGGAACGAGAAGAAGAGCUAUGGAAGAAGCUCCAUCCACCGGACGACCGGUCGGGACCGGAUGUCCGACGCCUGAAGACCCACCGGACGACCGGCCCGGACCGGACGACCGGCAAUCCCGCACCCGAACCAAACAAGCGGACGUCCGACAAGUCCCGGACGUUCGACACACUCCAGCGACCGGAGGUCCGACCGUCUCCGGAAAUCCAGCGCCACGUCAACCGAGCCAAAACGCUGGACGUCCGACAAGUACCGGACGACCGGACCCUCGUGAGCCACCGGACGUCCGGUACCCGUCGGACGUCUGAUGCCUGUCUAUGCAUAGUGUAUCGGGUCGAGCCCAUUUAUCCCUUCGCCCUCACUUACCCCUUCGUGGCCCUAGACUAUGUAUACUCCUCCACCUCCACCAUUUGAGGGUUAGCGUUGUGAUAACUCAUUUGAGAGAUAUAGGUACGCUCAUCCAUAUCGGAUCUCCUCCUUGCGAGAGACCGCGGCCUCUUCGGAGAAGAUCCCUUUGGAUUCAAGCCCCCUUUCUAAGGGAAGAUCCCCUCGUGGAUUCAAGACCUACUCACGUAGAAGACCGGUUACCGUCUAUCAUCCCUAGUUGAUCAUGGAUCGUGUAUCUUACUUUAUUUAUUCGAGGAUCUAGCACAUGUGUGAUCUAUUCAUGUUGGUUUGAGUGUUUUCUCUCGUUUUCCCCAUUUGUGUUAAUCGUGUUCUUCACGGGAUUCCGCUCCUUUCGUGAAAGAUCGGGCGAUAGGGUUCCUACCCUACAUCAUCUUGGUAUCACGAGCCACGUUGAUCACGAUUUCGGAGCCUCCCCCACCGUUUUCUAGCCUUCUUUUGCUUGAUUUCGUCCUAAAUUCGAAAAUCCCCACCAAAAAUAGCCCCAAUGUUUUUUGUGAUUUGUUGGUCUGAUGAUGUUUUGUUGAUUUUGAUCCAUGGAUUUGCUUGGUUUCAAGUGGAUCUAGCAUCUCCCCAAGUUUCCCCAUCUUUCAUCCACGAAAUCUCAUCAAUUUUGACCCCAAAAUCUCCAAAUUCCGCCCGAAAUCGCAUCCCGAAUCUCGGAUCUGGAGUUGACCCCGAUACAUCGGACGACCGUCACCUUACCGGACGUCCGGAGCCGCAGGAACAACCGGACGUCCGACCUUACCGGACGACCGGAACCCCCUAACCCGAGCAGAAUCAGCGGAUUUCCGACCCGACCGGACGUCCGGCGACCGGACGACCGUUUUUUCCAGACAUCCGCUACCUGUAGUGAUGAGGACAUCAAUACCAUUGUUACACCCACAGCCCCUACUGUUACAUAUACUGGACCAAUUACUAGAGCUCGCGCACCCAAUUAAAUUACCAGGUACUUUCGUUUCUUGGUAAUGAUUCUAAUGUUCAUGAGAUUAUGAUGUUGCCUAAAUUGGAUACAUUUGUUUUGCUUACAAAUGAAGGGCCUAGCUUGGAGAAGGAUGAACAUUGGAGCAAGAACACACAUGGAGUUGAUGGCAUGUGCAAGGGGAUCAAGAACGGAGUUACAAGUGAUGAUUUCAGGACUUUAAAGCCGCCAUAAGGAGUGCAUGAAGCCUUGGACGAAAUAUACAAGAUGCCACUUCAUAAUAUUCGUCCAUAGUCUAUUCUAGGUGCUGCAUCACCUUAUUAAUGGGCCAGGCCCAUGUAAUUUCGAAAUACUUAAGUAUAGGCUAUUUUUAGAGUUCGUAUGUGUGGGGAAACAAGAGUUAGGGUUGGUUUCGGACCCCACCCUCAAGGGCCACGAUAUUCCCCCCUCUUCCUCCAUAUAUACAGCCCUUAAGGCGUCGUUUAGACUUUGAGUUUUGUUUAGAUUAAAAGUUCGCCAUAGCUGCAACUUCGCGUACUUCAUUUGUGUCCAACGACCAGACCAAGACGUCACAGAACCCCACCUUGAUCAAUAAAGCUUUCAUCUUAUAUUCGCAAUAUCCCGAUUGCAAUCUCAGUUUCUUGCUUGUUCUUCGUUUGCUCGCAGGAAACAGACCCUCGUGGUCAGAUUGAUCGUGCUCCGGCGUGGUCAAUAACCCUCGGAAGUUGGUUUAGCGAUUGCUAAGGCGCGACGUCUCGCACGAUCGUAGUCGGAUCGUCAAGGUCGACUCCCACAGAAAACGAUAGCCACCAUCUCAUCGAAACAUCGGGACACUGAUGAGGACAUGACUACCUUGGAUAUGACCAAAAAUAUUGCAUAUAUGCAUAUUUGUCAGGUGAUUUCUAGUGCAAACUAUUCAAUAAUCUAUUUAUGUUAUCCAGAACAAAAAUACUUCACACACUUUUGUGUUUUGUCUAAUUGCAGGUGUAUGGGACAUUUGUACAAUCCACAUAUGAAGAUAAGGAAGAAAGAGAUGUUUAUUUGCUGUCCAAAAAGUUCUCUCACGUCACUUUUGGCCCAAGAGAAGAUAGAGUCCAAGUCUCUCACGUUCUGGAUUCAGAUUCGGACUGCACAGACAUACCUGACUCAAAACGCACACAAAUUUUUCAUACGGACUCCGAAUUGGGUGAUUCUUUUUUUGCUGGAAACUAGAUUUCGUGCACUUUCCAACCCAAUUGGAAUCACCUUCAAAUUCGUCCGGAGCAUUGAGUUGUGGAUGAAACAAUCUGAUGCUGCAGUAGAAUCCGAGUCAAACUACAAGUCCAAAGGUGAUACAUCACCUCCACUUGGGCCCAUUGGCCUUGUACGACCUAGAUUUAGUUUUAGGCUGCCUUGGGACGUCCUCCCACCUCCUUGGCCGCCACCCCUUGCUCCUAUAUAAGUAGAUCCAUCUAGUAGCUUUUCCUGGGGAUUUGUUUAGUUAAAAGUUAGCCAUUGCAACUUCGUGUACUUCGUUUGUGUCCAACGACCAGACCAAGACCACUUACGGAUCCCCACCUUUAUCAAUACUUCAUAUAUACUCACAAUAUUCAGAUUGCUUUUAUCAUAUUAUUGCUUGUUCUUCGAUUGCUUGCAGGAAUAGACCUUCGUGGUCAGGUUGAUUGUGCUCCGGCGUGGUCAAUAACCUCUCGGAGUUGGUUUAGCGAUUGCUAAGGCGCAACGUCGUGCACGUUUGUAGUCGGAUCGUCAAAGUCGUCUCCACCAAAUCCAUAGUUAUCAUCUCAUCGAAAGAUCAGGACACCCCGCCUCUAUCAAGUGGUAUCAGUUUUCAGGUUGCUCGGUGAGAUUUUACAGUUUUUCAUAGUUUAGAUCGCAUCUGUCAUUCAUACCUACAGUCCAUGAAAAAGCCAUAAAAAAGUUAGAUUUGUUCAUCAUUUAUCCAAGCCAGUCUGAGCCUUUGCAAUUUUCUAUUCAUUGCUUGCAUAGUUGAAUUAUCGGUUGCAUCGUCGUGUUAGUUGCUGGUCUUAGUGAUAGAGGCAAUGGUGUCCCGAUCUUUCGAUGAGAUGAUAACUAUCGAUUUGGUGGAGACGACUUUGACGAUCCGACUACAAAUGUGCACGACGUUGCGCCUUAGCAAUCGCUAAACCAAUCUCCUGAGGUUACUGACGAUGCCGGAAGCACGGUCAGCCUGACCACGAAGGUCUAUUCCUGCAAGCAAUCGAAGAACGAGCAAGAAUAUGAUAAAGCAAUCUGAAUAUUGCAAAUAUAUAUGAGGUAUUGAUAAUGGUGGGAAUCCGUAAGCGGUCUUGGUCUGGUCGUUGGACACAAACGAAGUACACGAAGUUGCAAUGGCUAACUUUUAACUAAACAAAUCCCAAGGAAAAGCUACUAGAUGGAUCUACUUAUAUAGGAGCAAGGGGUGGCGGCCAAGGAUGUGGGAGGACGUCCCAAGGCAGCCUAAAACUAAAUCUAGGUCGUACAAGGCCAAUGGGCCCAAGUGGAGGUGAUGUAACACCUUUGGAUUUGUAGUUUGACUCGGAUUCUGCUGCAGCAUCAGAUUGUUUCGUCCACAACUCAACGCUCCGGAUGAAUUUGAAGGUGAUUCCGAUUGGGUUGGAAAGUGCACGAAAUCUAGUUUCCAACAAAAAAAGAAUCACCCAAUUCGGAGUCCGUAUGAAAAACUUGUGUGCGUUUUGAGUCAGGUAUGUCUGUGCAGUCCGAAUCUGAAUCCAGAACGUGAGAGACUUGGACUCUAUCUUCUCUUGGGCCAAAAGUGACGUGAGAGAACUUUUUGGACAGCAAAUAAACAUCUUUUUCUUCCUUAUCUUCAUAUGUGGAUUGUACAAAUGUCCCAUACACCUGCAAUUAGACAAAACACAAAAGUAUGUGAAGUAUUUUUGUUCUGGAUAACAUAAAUAGAUUAUUGAAUAGUUUGCACUAGAAAUCACCUGACAAAUAUGCAUAUAUGCAAUAUUUUUGGUCAUAUCCAAGGUAGUCAUGUCCUCAUCAUCCUCCCCUUCUUGAAAAUAAAGCCGUCCUCGGCGUUGCUUAAUCUGAAAUGUGGCUAACAAAAGAGACAAGGUGUACAUGUUGUAUAUGUAUAUGUCAUCCAUUUUUACUUCCCUUGAUUUUUGCAUAUAUGACACAUGAAUAGAUGAGUAAAUUGCAUAGUUCAUAAAAUCUAAAGCCAAAAAAUUAGCACAAGAAGUAGAAGGCAUGAAAAUAUUGCAACUCAGUUUGCACAUAUAAGUGAAGCUCUUAUUCAUUUCAAAAGAUUGACAAUGUUCAUCAUUAAACCAUCCCAACAUUGGUGAAUAAGCAUUACUUGCAUCAAAUUUACAUGCUACAACAUGCUUAAAUAAGCAAACAUGCAAUAAGUCAUUCAACACAGAAUCAUCACCAAGAUUAGAGGUCAUAUCAAAAUGAUUAAACAUUGGUUCUUUUGCAUCAAUAGUUAAUUCAAUGGGUGCACUCAAAAUUGUUGGUAUUUCAGUUGUUUGAUCACAUGGCAAAGUCAAAUUAUCAACGUAGUCCUCUAAAAUAGGUGGUGUGAUCAAAGUAGUGGGUAGCUCAUCAGAUGGUGCAUUCAAAUUGACAAGGCAUUCAUCAUUCUCAUGUAGAGAUGGAAGAUCAGUACCUUUGUCAUUACCUCUUAUGAUCAACUCAGAUGAUGUAGCCACUCUCGGGGGCGAUGUGUCACAUGGUGGAGGUGAUAUAGUCCUGACAACAACGGAUGUGGUUGUCAUAGUAUGCCUAGUAGUUGAAGGAACAAUCAUAUCAACUCUUGGAAUGUGCACCGUGCGCUUGUUCUCCUCGUGGCCAACACGUCGUUUUAUUUCCUGUUCAGCUUUGCAAGCAAGAUGAAACAAAUGGUCCAUAGGAUAACACUCUUCAUGAAUUAGUAUCUCUUGAAUAUCACGAUUUAAUCCUCCCCAAAAUCUAUCCAUAAAAUCAUCUUCACUUUCUUCUAAAGAGGAAUGCAACAAGGUAGUUUGUAAAUCAUCAUAAUAUUUUGUUACAGUUUCACUACCUUGUUUUAAGUGUUGCAACUUCUUAAUCAUGUCACGAGUAUAAUAAGCAGGGACAAAAGUAUGUCGCAUGGCAAGUUUCAAAUCAUCCCAAGUAGUAGGUAUAUAAUCAGGGUGUAACCGACAAUAUUCACUCCACCAAACCAAAGCAUAACCAGUGAAAGAACCAACCGCAACCUUAACCUUUUUAUGUUCAUUAAAAUUAUGGGAAGCAAAUAUAUUUUUUAUGUCGAACUCCCAUUCAAUAUAUAAAGCAGGUUUAAAACGGCCAUUAAAUGGUGGUAUAGAUACAUUAACCUGAUCAUGUGCAUUUGGAUGUUUGUGCACCUCUCGUGACGGUUGUGGUAUUUGCAAAGGUGGUGGCACGUCUCCCGCGAUCGACAAAGCCCAUGAAUUGACUCUGGAUCCUGUCAUGAUUAGUAGAACAAGAAACAAAACCCAAAAAUAAUGUUCCUAUAACUACUAGGAUGUGGUGGUAAAACGCUCACAGUAAAGCAAAUAUCAAUGUCUUACAAGUUCUUACCAUGCAGCAGGCGGUGAUCGGCAACCAGCGGUGUCAAGUAACUCCGAAUAUUGAGUAAAGUGAUUGCCAGGGGAGCGUACGUAUACACGGUGUAGAAAUAUGUGGAGCUGGGUUGGCUAUAUAUGGUAGCAAAAGAUUAGCAAUAAUCAAUUCAAAGAUGCAAUGUUGAAUAAACGCUCAACGACGGUACUGUGCUGGUCCUAGGCUAGACCAAACUAGAGACGCGAGCCUAGAACACUAAUGAGGUCACGUCGUAGCACAACUAGCAUCAACAAAGGAUAUGAAGUAGCCCUGGACAGCAAGAUAUAAGUGAAGAUCACAAUAGCAGUAGACCUAUUUAGUAGCUGAUGUUGAGGUGCCAAAUACUGAACUAGCUUCUGCAACUAUUUAGAUGCGGCUCGUCGCUAGCUUUCAUUUGAGUACUCGCGGAGCCAAAACAGACUUCAUAUGAAGAAGUUAUGCCUGUUUUACUGAACAGUGCAAAAAACAGAUUCCAAUCCGAAUUCAACUACGAGAUUGAGUCUAGAUAGAUCCAAAUUUUGUUUUUUUUCUCCUCUCUUUUUUUUCUCACACUUUUUUUUUUCUUUUCCUUUCUUUUUUUUUCUCUGACUUUUUUUUUACUUUUUUUUCUUGUUUUUUUUCUCUAUCUUUUUUUCUCUCUCCCUCUUUCCAAAACAAACUAGAUAAGAUGUAGAUUGGAUCAAGCGAAGAUGGGAACGAUCUCAACUAUGAUUAUGACAAUGAACGGUGGGUAGCACGUGGAGGAAAUUGAUGGAUGGGUGGUGAACAGCGGAAGGGAUAAUGAUGCAGCGGCGACGUGACUAAUGUGAACAGAACUCGAAACUCUAAACGACCUAGACACUAAGACCAGCAACUCGACACGACGAUGCAACCGAUAAUUCAACUAUGCAAGCAAUGAAAAGAAAAUUGCAAAGGCUCAGACUGGCUUGGACAAAGGAUGAAUAGAUCUAACUCUUUUUUGUGGAUUUUUUUUGGACAAUAGGUAAGAAAAUAAAUCUAAUCUAGGAAAACUAGAAAUUCUCACCGAGCAACCUGAAAACUGAUACCACUUGAUAGAGGCAAUGGUGUCCCGAUCUUUCGAUGAGAUGAUAACUAUCGAUUUGGUGGAGACGACUUUGACGAUCCGACUACUAAUGUGCACGACGUUGCGCCUUAGCAAUCGCUAAACCAAUCUCCUGAGGUUACUGACGAUGCCGGAAGCACGGUCAGCCUGACCACGAAGGUCUAUUCCUGCAAGCAAUCGAAGAACGAGCAAGAAUAUGAUAAAGCAAUCUGAAUAUUGCAAAUAUAUAUGAGGUAUUGAUAAUGGUGGGGAUCCGUAAGCGGUCUUGGUCUGGUCGUUGGACACAAACGAAGUACACGAAGUUGCAAUGGCUAACUUUUAACUAAACAAAUCCCAAGGAAAAGCUACUAGAUGGAUCUACUUAUAUAGGAGCAAGGGGUGGCGGCCUAGGAUGUGGGAGGACAUCCCAAGGCAGCCUAAAACUAAAUCUAGGUCGUACAAGGCCAAUGGGCCCAAGUGGAGGUGAUGUAACACCUUUGGACUUGUAGUUUGACUCGGAUUCUGCUGCAGCAUCAGAUUGUUUCGUCCACAAGUCAACGCUCCGGACGAAUUUGAAGGUGAUUCCAAUUGGGUUGGAAAGUGCACGAAAUCUAGUUUCCAACAAAAAAAGAAUCACCCAAUUCGGAGUCCGUAUGAAAAACUUGUGUGCGUUUUGAGUCAGAUAUGUCUGUGCAGUCCGAAUCUGAAUCCAGAACGUGAGAGACUUGGACUCUAUCUUCUCUUGGGCCAAAAGUGACGUGAGAGAACUUUUUGGACAGCAAAUAAACAUCUCUUUCUUCCUUAUCUUCAUAUGUGGUUUGUACAAAUGUCCCAUACACCUGCAAUUAGACAAAACACAAAAGUGUGUGAAGUAUUUUUGUUCUGGAUAACAUAAAUAGAUUAUUGAAUAGUUUGCACUAGAAAUCACCUGACAAAUAUGCAUAUAUGCAAUAUUUUUGGUCAUAUCUAAGGUAGUCAUGUCCUCAUCACUUAGUGUCUAGUUUCUUUAGAGUUUCGAGUUCUGUUCACAUUAGUCACGCUGCCGCUGCAUCAUUAUCCCUUCCGCUGUCCACCAUCCCAUCCAUUAAUUUCCACCACGUGCUACGCACUGUUCAUUGUCAUAAUCAUAGUUGAGGUCAUUCACAUCUUCGCCUGAUCCAAUCUGCAUCUUAUCUAGUUUGUCUUGAAAAGAGGGAGAAAAAAAAGAUAGAGGAAAAAAAAGAGAG
rnacentral:lncRNA from 1 species